AGGAGGAACAGUUGCCUCAGCACGUCUGCGCAGCUUUCCUUGCGGCGCCCCUCCGCGUGGUCUAUGAUGGUGCAUUUUGGUCCAGUCAGGCCCGGUGUGGUCGGCCUCAUUUUGGAUUACUUCGGUGGGCUUCUCCUCGGCGUGGUUACGGUCUAGUACACCUUAGUGUGCUUUUCUCUGCAUGGUCCUUCCCAGCGUGGCUCGUCUCAGCAGCGUGGUUUUCAUCCGUGUGAUCGUCCUCUGCAUGGUUUUUCACGGUGAGGUCAUAUCAGCCAGCCACCAGCCUCAGCAUAUUUGUCCACAGUUCUUUUGGAGCUGCCUCUGCUCGGAUCACUUGAGCACUACACCUCAGUCCCGACUAGCCAUCCUCAGUGUGCUUUGCUCAACGCGAUCCUCCUCAGUGUUUGUCCUGAGCCUAGACCUCCAUGGUGAGGUCUUAUCUUGUUUCGUCAUGGUGGUCGGCGAUAUGGUCCGAUCUGCCUCAGCAAUUGGGUCACUUCCGUGUGGAUCGUUUCAGCACGGAUCACUCCAGCGCGGUCGGCUGCCUUGGCGCGAUCCACUUGGCUUCUCAGCAUUUUUUUUUAGCCUGCUGGGUUCUCUCAGUUUUUCUUCAACACGCUUCUUUUCCCUCUGUGUGAUUCUACUUGGAGAGCUUUUCUGUUCAGCUUGGUUCCCAGCGCUUCUUUUUCUCGGCAUGGUUCUCCUAGGUAUGGUUUUUUUCUCAGCGCGGGUUUCUUCUCUGAGUCAGCACGGCACAAGUCGCAAGUCCGCGUGGCCGCGCUCAUCAUAGCCUCCCCCUCCUCGCGGCAAGCACUCACGGCCAGAAGCAGAGGUGAUUCGUGCCGCGCUUUCGCGGCUGGGCUCCAUCUUCGUUUUGCCGCAGUGGCUCCGUAUUCGUUUUGCAGUUACGGCUCGGUCCUCGUUUCACGGCCGGUCCUCGUUUCACGGCCGUGGCUCAGUUCUCGUAUUUUGCGUCCACGUCCCCAUCUUUGUGGCCCAGGCUUACAGAAGCAGGGGUGGUCUUGAGGCCCUUUGAGCCCCGAGGUCGGUCGAGUCCCAAGGUGAGUGGCCUAGGACACCGGCUCAGGCCUUCGGAUUCUAAACCCCGGGCCGAGUCAGAACGCACUGGAGCUGAAACCGAAUCGGGUCUGGAGACCCCUGAGCUUUGUAGCCCGGUGUGGCCAGCACCAAGGUAGUGAGUGGAGUACGUGUUGUUAUGUGGUAGCUGUUUUAAUGCUGAGAGUGAGGGGCUCCGUUCGGAAUGUUCGCGCAUGGUGGGGGAAGGGUAUCGUGGAACUGAGGCUGGGGAAGGCUGCUUAUUCGGAGUUUUGAACCGAGUUGUGAUCUAGCUCUUGGAUCCGAGUUGGGUGUGUGUAUGUGUGGGUCUACAGUGGUUCCGAGUCUAGAGUGGAGUCACGAUUGGAAUCGGGUAGAGAUUCGGGUCUGGAGCCGACUCGGAAUUCAGGUGUGGGGGAUUGGGAACUUGGGGUGGAGGCCGCAGUGGUUGCAGUGGGUUCUUAACCUUCCUUGUGCUUUGACCCUUUAAUACAGUUACUCAUGUUGUGGUGACCUCCAACCAUAAAAUUAAUUUCAUUGCUACCUCAUAACUGCAAUGUUGCUACUGUUAUGAGUCAUUAUGUAAAUACCUGUGUUUUCCGAUGGUCUUAGGCGAUCCCUAUGAAAGGGUUGUUCAAGCCUAAAGGGGUCACGACCCACACGUUGAGACCUGCAGAGUCAGAAUCAGGUCUGAAUUGGGGGAAUAGCAGAACUGGGAGUUACCUCCAGAUUUUCAGUUGGGAUUUGAUUCUUUUCUGUGGUUUUAAAUUGAGAUCCCAGAGGCUCAGGUCUCUGUUGGGGACCAGACUGAGGGUUUCUAGUUAUAUUCAGGACCUGACUGGGCAGUACAGUAAGAAUUAAAGUUGGUUUUGAGUGUGAGCAUAAUGGUCUGAGGUAGGGAUCAGGACUGAAGUAUAAAGAGUCUGGUUUUUAACAAGUGGGAAUCACAUUUUGAGACAUGGGGUCCCAUGUGGGUCAGAGUUGAUUUAAAGGACCAAGGCCAGGGCCCAAACCUUAGUCCUCCAUUUUGUUGUUCUUGUUGGUCACAUUCCCUUUUCUGUAAAAUGGGGAGGAGUGCUUUCCGCUGUAACCUUUCUGGGCAUAAAAGGGAGUAAGUAAUUCAUAGAGGUAAAAAUAGUCUUAUCUUAAAUGAUUAAAAAGUGUAAAAUAUUUCUCAAUAGUAAUAAGGACAAAUAAUAUGCAUUUAACAAUCUUUUCUCAUACCGUGUGCCCUUUGUUAGGCACUACCAAAAAGGAACCUUUUCUGUUCUGUUCCCUAGAGCUUGCCCCACCCAGCCAUGGGCCUAAUACACAGCCAUCCUCAGGCAAUACUUGCUGAAGGAAAGCAGGCAGGCAGGAUUAACCAGAUUUCUAUGGUGUCUUAAAUGAUCCAUUUCUGCACCUGUUUUCCAGAUACUAGGAGAAAAAUUUAAAGGAUUGGAUUGCUUGAUUAUAGUUCUAUUUUAAUGUGUUACCAAACACACUGAAGAAAAAAAGUGGAUCUGUUUUGGGAUUUGUGCUCCAGCUAGAAGGAUCUUUUAAAAUUUCGAAUCAGAGCAUGUCCAAAUUCAAAUAAGGAGAGCACAAAUAAAGAAAAUUAUGAGGCACUUCCCUGGUGAACAUAGAUGAAGGUCCACUUACAGUAUUAACUAACUGAAUCCAAGAGAAUUUUGAACAACAGUUCUUAGACAAGUAGGAUUUCUCCUUGGGAUAUAAAGAUGAUCCAAUAUCAGAAACUCUAUCCGUGUAAGUCACAGUAUUAAGAGACUGCAGGAGAAAAAACAUAUGGUUUUCUCAAUAGAGGCAGAAAAUUUACAUGAUGAGGUUUGACGCCUAUGUAUGCAUUUGAGGGGGCUGGAAGGACAUUACUUAGGAAGCCAAAAACUAGAAGAGAAUUUCCCUAACUUGAUACAGUGUAUAUCCAAAUUUAACUUUUAAGUAAACUUAAAAACUAUUAUUCCUGGUAAGAUAAGGAGCAGGCCAAGGGUAUUUUCCUAGCCACCUCCUAAUAUAAGGAAAAGAAAUGGAGAUGUAAGACUUCCGUGGCAGGAAGAGCGAAACUAAUGACUUAGAGAGAAUAGUUGUAUUUGCAUUGGGGUUUGCAAACAUUUUGAUGUUACAAUCUUUGUGUACUUAAAAAAUUAUUAACUCCCCCUCCCCACAUUUAUUUAAGAUGGACUAUAUUUAUUGGUAGUUACAGUCUUAGACAUUAAAAUUAUGUGCUUAAACAUAGAGCUGUAUAAUUGUAUAUUCCAGGGAGGUCAUAUCUCUGGAAAACUCUGACUUUGUGAGAAUCAAAAUAGAGACUGCAGAUGAGUUAUGGGCGUAUUUAUUCCUCAGACCAUCUGUGACCUUUCCUGGGAGGGUCUGAGAAGGCUUCUCAGAAGUUUCUUUGGACUUUUCUUUGAAAACUGCUGAACUACCUGAAAGAUAAGGUUUUGCAGCAAAAGAAUUAUUUGGGUAUAUACAGUAUACCCAAACAAACAAAUUUUUAAAACCCCACAUUUCUUUAUAACAAUAGUGAUGUAAAAGAUGUAAGAAGUGCACUCAGAUACAAAUUAGAAUAGCAACGAGAUUGUCUGGUCUUUUUUUAAGACAGUGUUUUUGGGAAAACUGUAAAUUCCCAUUGGAGAUAAAGGAAGGUAUUUGGAUGUGCAGAGACAUUUGUUUUCUUGGAAAAUUUAGCGUUAGAAUCCUCAGUAUUUUGCAAAUCUGUAAAUUUAGUUAGAUUGCAGUCAGACUUCUAGCUGGAGGAUUUAACAUCUCUUCCUCAAAAAUGUAUGUGAAAGAGAAAGAUGUACAAAUGCCAAGUGAACUUUGAAAAACAUUCCAUGGCUUAGCAGCCAGAAGGGUGGAGUGACAGAGACCCAGAACAGAGCUCAGUGAGCUCAGCCCCGAGUCUGGGGAAGGUGACAUGUGAUCAAAGUGGCACCACAUAUCAGUGGAACCUCCUUGGAAGAUGUUAAAAAACAAGUAAAAGAGAAACAUCCUGUGAACUCAGAGUCCUUAGAAAGGGGGAGCUCCAAACUGUAAGUAAAAGGUAGUUGCUAUUUAUUAAGAAAAACUACAGAGAAUAUUUUCUAGGGUAGGGUGGAAGUCUUAAGUAGGAUAAAUCUCAAGACUCAAAUUUAUGAACUUGAAUAGGUGCAAAAAUUAAGGAUUUCUAUGAACCAAAUCCAUCAUGGCCAGUGCCACUAGUUCCAUAAUUGAAAGACAUGAUUUGCCUUUUUAUCCCUUCUCAUGCAAAGUUCUGCCCAUGACAAAUUACAAGAUAACCAGAACACUAAAACCAGGGAGCAGCAGCUGAGACGACGAGAAAGCAAAUCAGAGGAAAAGGUAAGACAAGAAACUCGCAGGAGGGUUACCAGUGAAGAUAUGCUCAAACUGAAGUCACCAGAGAAAUGCAAAUCAAAGUGACAUUUAUUUUUCUUCUGAGAACCCUUAGAAAGUAGGAUAAUGCCAAGUGUUGGCAGAAGGUAGGGAGCGAGACUCCCCGCCUGCCGCAGGUGAGAGGGGAGACCGACACAGACAUUCUGGAAAGCUGGCCAGCAUUUUUUUUCCUCAAAUAAAAUAUUUUAUACCUGCGGCGCAACAGUUUCCCUCCUGAGUAAACAUGCUGGAGCAGUUCUCCCCCAGAACAAGGAGAGGCUGUGUGUGCCUGCUCAGCACAGCAUGGCCUGGGGGUGGUGGGGUGGUGGGCAUUUGGCUCUGGUUGCUGUGGUUAGAAGCAGGGGACUAGAUGUACACUUCACAAGAUGGAGACACAUGGAAACGGUGCUGAGUGACACAGACAGCAAACAGAAGGAGGGUUUCAGUCCCUGCCUUGGUGUUUAAAUUCAAAUUACACCCCUCCCAGACCUGCGCUAACUGGGCAUACUGUCCAUACGUACAAUGAUAUUAAUAAGCUACUCCAGAGCAGCUGUCUGAGUGGAAGGGAGUGGGGGUUACAGGAUGGAGAUAGGAUGCAAAAGCAUGGAAGGAGCAGAGUGGUCCUUUUAAACAGACCCUUUCACAGUAACAAUUUUAUGGGCAGAAGGCUGUGAUUUACUCUGUGUGUUAUGCACCAGGACCCAAGAGCCAAGUAUGAAGAAGUGAAUGUGCACCCAUCACUCACCUGCCAGAUACCCUCUGUAGACUCCUAUUUCUAGGAACAUCAGCUUUUUACAAGGUUGGCUUGCCCUGAGCUCUGACCAUUUCUUCUUCUCUUGCUGAGCUUGGGCCUCAGCAGCAUUCUUUGUGCACACGUGUUCUAGGUGCAUGCAUGGGUGGGGUCCAGAGGUCAAUGCUAGGUAUCUUCCUCUAUCACUCUCCACUUUCUUUUUUAUAGACAGGAGCUCUCACUGAACCUGGAGCCCACCAUUUUGUUUUGACUGGCUGGCCAGUGAGUCCCCUGGGAUCUUACUUAGUGUCUAUAACCUAGAACCCCAGUCAUGUGCUGCCAGACCUGGAUUUUAUGUGUGUGCUUGGGAUCUGAGCUCAGGUUCUCAUGAUUUCCAGCAAUCACGAUUCCCAGUAAGUACUGUAGCUACUGAACCAUCUCCCCAGCCCAAUAUCAACAUUUUUUUUUUUAUUAUUAUUAUAUCAGCAAAGUAUUCCUCCCGCUUCAGGGUCUUAAGGUUAGCCACUCUGCCUGACUUUUAUUUUCCUGUAAUUCUCAUAUCUCACUGCAAGUGCCUUUUCUAACCUGCCAUAUCAAUUAGUCUCCUCAGCUAAUUGCUACCUCAGUCUCAGAAGCAUGGGCUACACUGUGGUAUUCUUGUUCCUUGGGCGUGUCCACUUAAGUUAGCUGCCUGUCUCCUCCACUAGAAGGGAGGUCCUGGGUGAGCGUGUGUGUCUUCUCUGUAGGGUUAGCACUCUGUAGGCAUCUCACACAUUUCUGGUCAGUGGCUUCAUUGAUUUGUUAAAUGAAAGGAAAGAGCAGGCCAGGAAAGUGUUCUUCCACUUUCAGAAUUCAGUGAGAAAGUAAGUGGUGAAGAUUUCUUAACUGCCACCUUGGUGUUAUUUGGUGAAGGAUGGGGGUUGAGGGGAGAGGGGUGCUCUGUGUUGUAGUAUGUUUCACAGCCUAAAUGGCAUUUACCUAGUCCAAGUAGUCCCCUCACAGUUGUGAUAACAAAACCUGCCUCCCAAGGUUACCACAUAGCUCUUGGGGUGGGGGUGGGGGGGCACUCCCUGCCAGGUCUGCCUUAGACUAGUUGCAAGGAGCUAGAAAGCCUUUCAGCUUUAAACACAGGGUCCUUUAAACACAGCGGACCCUGGCCUUUAUCCUGCAAUGCACUAAAUCCAUGCCCUUAUGGUCCCUAUGAAGACGACCCUGGCCUAUGCCUGUAUAAUAGAAGCACCUCCAUCUCUGCUCAUUGGUGUAAAUAUAUUUUGACAGGUAAUCCUGUCCUCACAAUGCAUGGGGUUCCAUUAAAAUCUUUACAACAUUCUUAAAACAAAUCAACAAACAAACAGAACCCUACUUAUUGUUAUGUUGAUGAAUGUCUUGUCUGCAUGCAUGUAUGUAUACCAUGCAUGUGCCUGGCAUCCCCGAGGACAGAAGGAAGGAUCAAUCCCCUGGAAACUGGAGUUUCAGAGGGUUGUAAGCCGCCACAUGGGUGCUGAGAGACAAAUGUAGGUUCUUUCUACAAGAGCAGUGAGUAUUCUUAGCCACCGAGAUAUCCCUAACCCCGGUUACAACCAUCCUUUAGCUGCAGUGCCUCAGUUGUGAGGCAUUGGCACCUGCAGCUUUACCAGUUUGGAGCCGGCCUGGAAAGAGGCUGGGUUGGGUCUUCUCACAGCUGCCAGUUAGUACAGACUAGUAAGUGGCUCUUGUGAACAAUAGAUCCAGAAGUUUACAGUACACUUAGGAGGAGAAGAGGGUUUGCCUCAGAGAAGGCUGCUUGGGAGAGUAAGUGGGUGGCCUCUAAUACUGGGUUUCCUUUCCCUGUGCUUGCCUCUGAUAUCAGCCUUUGCCAUGGUCCUCUAUGCUGCCUGGCCCCAGAAAGUCUGGGUCAGUGGCCAGAGUCCAGACUCCCAGGGUCCUGAUCAGAGUCUUCAGGAAGGCCUGAGAGAUUAGAGCACAGAACUCUCCUAGCCUCUCCCACUGGGAACUGAAAGCUUCCCUGAGCCUUUCCUAGGGACUGAGACCCUUGUUUGCAAUUUAAAUGUGCCCUCCUUUAUGGAAGAAUCCCAGCUCCUUGAAGAGCCUUGAGCUCACCCUCCCUAGCAGUUGUAGCCUUAGCCAGGGGAAGAAACUGAUCUAAUGGGCCUUUCUCCUAAUAAUGCUAAUUGUGGCAAUUAGGCUCUGCAAUAGAGAAGGGGCAGGGCCAGGCCCACUAGUUUGCCCUUAGCUCAAAUCCAGGCCUUCUUACUCAGGCUGCUGUCCAGGUUAACUAAGCCUGGUGAAGGUACUAAAUAAGCAGAGGUUCAGCAGAGGGUGGUUGAAGCCUGCUGGCUUCCAGGGGCAAUCACAGUGGAUAUGGAUCUGAGUCUAAUGUUCAGUCUAGUAUUCAUACAGGUGACUCUGGGCCUUGCCAUGUGAUCCUCCCAGAAGAGGGUCUAACUGGAGCAUAAAGAUGGUUUGAAUUAAUCAAUAGACCAAUAUCUACCCUUUCCUUUCUCUCUCUCUCUCUCUCUCUCUCUCUUUCUCUCUCUCUCUCUCUCUCUCUCUCUCUCUCUGUGUGUGUGUGCACGCGCGCGCGCGGCGCGCGUGAGAGAGAAAGAGAGAGAGGGGGAGAGAGAGGGAGAGGGUGAGGGUGAGGGCGAGGGCAAAGGUGAGCAGGGGAGGGGGAAAGAAAGAAGAGUGAGCAGGGGACCAUGGAUAAGGGCUUAUCUGGUCUGGCAGGAAGUUAGGUUUUGAAGCAUAUGGCUCUAUGGAUUAAGAAACCAUUCCUCAGUAUGGCCAAUUAGUAGAUCUAAUCCCCUCAACCUCCUAACAUAUACUAAAGGAUCAAUGUUUCUUCACUCUGCAGGGUCUUGCUUACAAAGCACUCUGGGUCCUGUUCUCUCUGGGAGCUGGGAAUCUGGUCUAAUGAAAGGAAACACAGCACAGGCAUAGGCAGCCUGAAUGCUUAGUUAUUCAAAGGUUACACCGUAGCUGACUUUGAAUCAGUAUAUAGCGUCUGCACGGUACGGAGACUUUCCAGGAAGUGAAUUAUGUGUAGGAGGCAGGGAAGUGAUUAUUGCUCCAUUUUAUAGACUCAGCCAUUCCACACAUACUUGUUGAAAGUCCACCAUGCAUCGCACAGCUGUCUCGAGGAGGGAUUUUACAGGAGUCAGGUCACGCCUGUCCUAUGGUGCUUGUGUGUUGUUAUACACUGAAGGGAAUAUUCUUUGAGGUCUGGAGAUAUAGAGAAAGGACUAUUAGGAACCAGCCAGAACCCAUCUGGGAUCCUAGUUAGGCACUAAGACCAAGAGGACACUGUGGAGGAGGGAACACGAGAGAAAGAAGCUAGCUUUCUAAACCUGGGUACAGAUCUUCAGUCCUUGCUUCCUGUGAGGAUCUUGGGUUUGUUCUGAGACCACUGAGAGCUGCUAAGGCUCUAAGUUCCCAUUCCAUUUAGAUCCCAUUCCACUCAGGGAACUAAGUGGAAUCCACAUUUUAAAAGGCUCUUCCUCCUGAGUGGAGGGGAAUGGAGGUUAUCAGAAGGUGUUGUGGCCUCCCAGAGGAGUGACAAUACAAAAGGAGGGAAUGGGUAGAGGGGGUAAGCAGCCUGGCUUGGUAGUGGACUAGUUGGGUCUCAGCUAGGAAAGAAGGCGUUGGAAGUGAUUGCAGGGUUUCAGGUUUACACUACUGGAAGAAUUUUUGUUUGGGGUGGAGCAUGAGUUGGAGGAGUGGAGUAUGAGGUGACAGAUAUGGUGGGUCCAGCUAUUGGAAAGCUAGUUUUUGUCAGUCCAGGAGCUCCUGAUGCUGAGGGAAGGGACCAGCGUAGGGAAAGAAGGGCAGCACUACUUAGUGGGUGUGAAACUGGGUGCAGAGCUAGCAUGGUGACCGGGGAUAGAUGGACAGGAAAGAGGAACCCAUUCUUGCAGAGGUCAUGUGGAGUCAAUGUUCUAGUCUUAUGAGGGUUGGCAGUGGACAGCAACCAGCCUAGAAUGUGCCUCCUGCCAGUAUGACUAUGACACUUGCCUUCCUCUGUGACUAGAGAGAAGGCCUUAUUUCUCAGUGGUUCUGUUUUCUCUCUGCAUUCCUAGAAUCAAGAGUAGCAAAAGAACAUUUCUCCAUAGAAUGUGCAGGGAGGGUCACCUCCCUCAGGAGGCCUCGUCCUUGCUAAAGUAUUUCAUAAUCUUGGAACGAUGGAAAAUCCUUCUACCCAUUUUAAUGCAAAGCCGGGCAAGCUUUAAAAAAAAAAAAAACAAAAAACAAACAAAUGGCCUUGAAUAGGCUGAGAUGAAAAGCAAAGAGGUUGCCAACGCUAGAGACUGGGGGAGGGGUGUGCAGUGGGCAGGGAGAUUUUGGGAGGCUCCAAAGUUAGCAGUUUCUGAGCUUUACUGCUCAAACCUAGAGGCCCAAACCAAACAGAGCAGGUCCAGGGUUCAAGGUGCAAGGGGGCAACAGCCCUGUGUGGAAGAUGUCUCUUUCUUGUCAUUGUUCCUGAUUAGCUGUUCAAACAGCCUUCACAGGUUCUGCAAAAAAAAUGGUUAACUGUGGGUCCUCUAUAUCUUCUACUUGGUAAUUUUUAAACACAGCUGAGCCCCGGGUGCCCCUCCCAGAGGCUCAGAGGCCAGAGGCCAGAGGUCAGCACAAACUCUACACCACGUCUGCCUAGCCUUUACCUCAUGUGUCUAGGAAUGAUGUACAUUAGAGUAGAGGCUCUGAUACCUCCCUCGCUCAGGUGCCAGAUCAAGGCUUCAUCCUCUGCCCUUUGCCCAGGGUUUAGUGGGGUUUGCUAAUAUUACUUAAUUCCUGAAUGAACCUUUCAGGUCAGCAUAAAAGAGCUGGGAUUGUAUGGCAAAACCCGGAUGGGGAAGAUGGCUCAGACUGUUAAAAACAAGCUCCCAGCAGUGGGAGGGAAGCACCCCCUCCUUGAGGCCUGAGGUCAGUGUUCCCAUUAAUCCUUCUGCCAAGGGAUAUGUACCUAAAGGUUCUAGGGUCACACCCUAUCGGGACUAGCCAUUCGGGACUUCUGAGAAAUGGCAUUUGAUAGCUACAUGUACUGCCACAACUGUACACAACCAAGUCACACACAUUCAUCCUGUUCCCAGCCAGGGCCCAAGACUGAGUCUCAUUCCCGUUUUACCUCCUCUUAGCCUGGGUGCCUCUACCUUGUAAUAGAUGCUGAGGCCUACUUAGACCCCAUGACUGUGCCUGACAACCAAAGAAGCCCACCUUCUGGUGUCACCCACCUCACCCUAGCUCUCUGUGAUUCCAGCUUUUCUAAGGAAGGCAGGUAGCCUCUCAACCAGUCAUAUGCCCCAUGCCAGACAGUCAUGCCAGCCGCUCCAGUGCUCGUUAACUACCUUUAGGCCUUGUGGACUUCAUGUUCUAUGGAUGCGAUUUAGUACUCCCAAGAGCACCACAAGAAAGGGGAUAGCAAGCAAGAAGAAACUCAGCCACAUAGAAGGACUUGUUUGAGGCCACUGGGUGCCUGACAAGAGUCCUGCCUCUGGGGAAACCAGUGCUCCAUGCCUGUAACCUUGACAGAGUGCUCUUGGAUUUAUGUUUUCAUAGAAGCAGUCUGUGGAGGGCUAGAGAGGCAGCCCCUGUUUUCCUGGGUCCCUGCUUGGGAAGUCACAGCUAUCACUGUUGAGAAAGGCAGCCCAGGUUUGGAGCAGUUGGAGGCUAUCCCAAGAGUAGGUUGGAUGUAGAGGUGUGGGUGCGUAUAAAUGCCAUCCUGGGUAAAUGGAAAGGCCACAGGCCACCGUGAUAAGGUACCACUUCCUCUUCCUGCCUGGUGGGCUGCUUCAGUACCAAAAUGUCCGGCCACUAACUUGGUAUAAACAAAUGGGUGUGAUCCAAAUGCAAAGAACAGAUGCCCUUAGCCCCCACUCCUCCUGCCCUGAUUUUCCUCAGUGGGCUGUAUGUCUCCUCUCCAUUCUGUUUCUAAGACCACCUAAACAUCAAGAAUCUGGAAAAUAGCCGCUACAGCAAAUGUUUAUAUUCUUCUUGGUUUGUCAUUCAUUCUGUUCCUCCCAGAGAGGCCUAAAUGCUGAGAUACUGGGCAGAGGGCAAGGAACAGUACUGCCCUCUCCAGAGGCUGCCAAGAGACAAGGCUGUAGUUGUAGUCUUUAGGGCCAUCAGCCCUACAUGAUGCUGUCCUCCUCAUUCCCUUUUUCCUAUGGGUGGGCUUCUUCCCAUGGGCCACUUCUACCCAAAGCCAUGUGAAAGGCCUUAAGUUCUAGAGGGAUAACCUGAGGGUGGCACUGAGUUGCAGGGUGCAAUGAGAGAUUAUUGCAAGGCUGGUAGAACCCUCCAUCUGCAGGGCUGACUUCAAAGCUGCUGCUGGGCUUAGCCUGCUGCAUCAAAGUCAGCCAGUUAAACAGUUUUCACAUAAAAGGGAGAGUGGAGGGUUUAAAAGCCUUCCCGUGAAGACAGGCAGGCAUUCCACCCUCUUCUCAGGCACAAGAGCCACUAGAGGAGAAAGUAACUGCCCCUUAAAGACACAGAAAUCACCUUACACCCUGGUUUAGGGUUUGAAGACUACAGCCUUAGGUACAAGCGUAGUGAGGCACCUGUGUGGAGGGAUCCUCCAUUUGCAUUCAGCUCCCUGCUUUAUAUCUGGCCUUGUAUUUUGCUUCCCUACCUCCAGCACCUAUGUUUUUGGGGUGGGGGUGGGGGCAGGCUAUCUGGCUGUCGGGAAUAAGGAGAUGUAUGGUAUGACAGCCCUGAGGGAACUCAGAGUCAGGCUGCUCAGGUUGGAUUCUAGCUUUUAGUCUAAACAAUGGCUUUAUACAGUGCCUUUCUUCCAGUCCUAGCAGCCUUGUGUGAAUACAUUUAGAGGAGACCCUCGUUCAGCCUCCCCAAGAACUCUCUGGGAAGAUCCAGGAGACUCUACCUUGCUCUCUGUCUCCCCACUUCUGCCUUCCUCUUUGCCCCCCCUCCCCCCACCGUUGGGUCCCUUGCCUGACUCCAGUAUACUGUGAUGGCAGAAGUGCCAAUGUCUCCUCUCAAGCAGAGCCUAACCCAGCUUGUGCCUUGCAGAGUGCAGAGGGGUGCUCACCCUGCCCUCCUUCAGGGAGACAUCAAAGGGAAACUGGAAGCAUUCCCUGCUGACCCCCAGUGAGUGGGAGAAAAGCAGCAGCUUGGCUCAGCUGGCUGGGCUGGGGAUUUUCCAUCCUACCAACAAUAUCCACAGGAUAGAUACCCCACUCUGGCUUUUGAGGAACCAGGAACCCUCAGGAACCAGUGUUUGAUUUGCAGCCUGAUGGUGCCAUGAAGGGCUCAUUGGCAUUGGGGCAUGGCUAGCCACUUGAGGAGUUCCCUAUCCUCAUGACGUGCUGACGACUGGUUUGAAAUCUUAGCAUUUCUCACCCUAGCAGAAUACUACCUCGAGGUCCCCUGAGAUCUAGCUAGCCAGGGGAGAUCACAAUUUGUGUGGGGACCCAAGAAAGGUAGAGAGAAGACUGCCUGCCUUUUCUCUAUCAGCUGCUUAUCCCCCAGGCCUUUUGUGGAGUGCACACUCCAGCCUCCGUAGCAGCUCAGCACAGCCCAGGCUAUCCUAGACUGUCCCAAGUCCUCAAGGGUUUCAGCACCUCCCAAGCUAAGGGAACAGGAAGUCCAGAAAUAGAAGUCAACAUUUAUGCUAAACCAGGGUACCCUCCCCCCUUUGACUAACAUGGGCUUUUGGCAGCUUCUGGCUCUCAGAUCUCCAUGCACAAUUUGUAGGCUAAAUACUCUACACUACUCAGGAUAUCUAAUCCUGUCCCUCAAGAGUUAGACUGUCAGGUUUUUCUGAGUCACAGCAACCUUAGGCCUGGUAAGUCAUAGUGAGCAUGUUUCCCUCUUCAGCCUAGAACUCACAGGAUGGGCCAAAGAGAAUGCAGUAUGGUUUCAAGGAUGUCCAGGGCCAGCAGCACUACCUGAUGAGAUGAGACGAGAUGCUUGCCUGCUCCAUCCUGUCAGGGUCUGGUCACACAACUAGGCUGGAGCAGGCUUAGAGGGCAGGAUUAGACAUAGUGAGAUCCAACAAAGGCAUAGAAAAUAUCAGAAGUGAGAUAGCAAGCCAGGCCUUAGGCUUGUGCUUCCUGUGUUCCUGUCAACGCUGCCCUACUCUAUGAUUAUGGAAAAAGUAGGAAAAAAAUCUUUAGAGAAACCUAAGUACCAAUGUGGCUUUUGUAGCAGACUGAAUUGUGGGAGGCCCUGGUGAAGACAUAUUGAGCUUUGACAUGUGAUUGUGCCUUAGCUGAGGUCUUCUCUCAGCCAAAGCAAGGACUCAGUUGGGUCCCGACUCCCACAAGGCUAUCUUCAAGUACUGUUUGUUCUACAGAUGGAGGUGGGGGGCUGUUUCUCAUUUCUGCCAAAGUCACUUAAGGGACACAGAGAAGGUAGACCUGUUGCUUUUCUAGUACCUAGAAGUGGAAAGGUGGAGGUUGGUCAGAAAGCCACAUUUUGCUUCUCAUUCCCACAUGAAAAAAGAUGGCGCUGGGGGGUUUACCCAUCUGUUCCUCUAUAUCUUGUCUUUGGCUGGCCUAGGCCCUUAUCUCACCACAUGCCACUCCGAAGAGAGACGGAAAUGACAAGAGUGGGCUAAACUAUUUGGACUGGGUAAAGUCAAUAAUAGACAGUGCCCGAUUAAGAACUGGGAGGACCAUGUCUUCCUAAGUCUCAUGGUAUGCUCCAUUCUUCAAGGGGAGCCAUUCCCGUAAGAGCUGGUGUGACAGAUUUGAAGUGGCUGUGCCAGCUAGUGAGUCUUUUCCUCUGAACCAUGUAGUGAUAGGCAAGGCAAGUUGACAAGGAAGUUCUUUCCAAUUCGAAGAAGCCAAGGCAGUCAUCAAGCUUUGUCUUACCAGGAAAACGUCAGUGUAUAUCGUUGGCUGUCUGGCUUAGAAGAGGCAACUGUGAAUGAUGGCCAGAGAGAAUCACCUAACACAAUCUGGUUAUGAACACAUUUGGGCCAUGGAGCGAGAGGCUAGCCCUGGAGGCCUAGUGGAUCCACAAGAACCCAGAGAGAGAACAAAGAGGCUCAGGGUCUUAGAGGCUUCUGAUCCACACAGAGAGAGUCAGGAAAGUUAUUAGAGGUGUUCCUUCAGCUAUGGGAACAACAUCUGAGAUGCUGGUACUCCAGGGCAGUGUGUGUGCUGCUGGAUAGCAGGAAGGUUUCUACUGAUGCCUGAGGCUUGCUCUAGCUCAUAAAUCUCCACUUCUCCUUAGCACUGUGAAAUGUUUACUCUGAACUAAGCCUCUGCUUUAACAAGUCAUGUUUCAAUAGGAAAACCUUCGUUGAUGGAAUCGAAUGCAAUUCCUCCUCCUCCUCCACGACAGUUACCCAUUCCUAAGAAAAGCACAGCAUUUUAGCAAGCACCCAGGGCCUCAGGAACUAGCAUUUGCAGACAGUAGUGUGGCAGAUAUGAUGGCCUCAUGUGCAUCAAGGAGAAUCUGGCCUCUAUGUGCCUGGUCUUGCCAGUCCUUCAGACUGACAGUUCUGGAGUGCUCCAUCCUUCACUUCCAGCCCCAUUAUCCAUAGAAGCCUUCAGUGGGAACUCUCAGACUUGGUGCUGGUUCAUUCCUAAGACUGGCCUGUUGCUGUGCUUUGGAGUUAGCCUAGCUAGUCCUACCCAGUGCUGAGGGUAUACAUACACACACACAUGUGGCAUGAUCUACCAGCCCUAAGGCAACAGUGUGUUUUCUUUAAACAGUAGAGUAGGUUUCCUGUAUGUACCUAGCUGCCAGAGGUUGCUGCUGUGACCUAGAAAUAGCUGCUGCCCCAAGCCUUGAUCCACAGGUUUUUUUUUUUUAAAGAUUUAUUUUUAUUUUAUGUGUAUUAGUGUUUGCCCACAUGUAUGUCUGUGUAUAACAUGCAUACAUGGAACCCACAGAGGCCAGGAAAGGGCACCAGAGCCCCUGGAACUGGAGUUACAUAUUCACAAAACCAAGAUGGUUCCUUCCAUGUGAAACCCUUCUAAGAGAAUCAUCAAAAAUUACUGUAUUUCAUUGGUGCCUACAUUUCUAGAACAGCAGGCAGAAAGGGGUGCAUUGUAGAGAAUGGUGAUAAGAUAGCUUCUGGAGAACUCUGGGGCCCCAGGCCCCAUGGAUAGAACCCUGCCAGGGAGCUUUGAAGCUGUACCGUCCCUUCAAGAUGUUCCUGGCAGGCGGAUUUCUGAGUUUGAGGCCAGCCUGGUCUAUAGAGUGAGUUCCAGGACAGCCAGAGCUACACAGAGAAACCCUGUCUCAAAAAAAAAAAAGAUGUUCCUGGCAUUAACAGGGUCCAAAGCAGCCUUCCCAGCCCCAGGCUGGGUCCUAGGAGAACCUAACUGAUUGCAUGGGAAACCUCAGUCAUUUACAUAUUCAUUUAUUUAUUUCUUCAUCAAACAUUCACUGAAGGUUCCUGAUGUGCUCUGAGUAGAUUAAGCACAGAAUAUAAAACACUGAAUGGAAGUGGUCAGUAUCUGCCCUCAUGGACCUUGAAUGGAAUUGACAGAGAAAGUCAGUAAACUUGUUACCACAAACAUGCGGUUAUACAUUAAAAAUGAGGGAUGGGGGUGCAGUUCUCCAUGGUUCAGUCUGAAGCUGAGAAAUAGCCUAGGCACGUUUCAGCCUAAAAUCAGCCCUAGCUUGUGAAGGUGAAAGUCAGAGGAGAGCUUAGCACGUUUAAAGAUGACGCCAAGAGAAUGUUACAGGAGCUGGGCACCUUCGGCAGAUCGACUAUUCCCUGGCUUUGUGACCUGGGCCCCAGACUUGAUCACUCUAGUUUCAGUUUAUCUCUAAAUCAGAAAUGGUAGAUAGUAUUCAUAUGUCAGAAGCUGCCGUGAGGAUUAGUGAAGUUAUAUGUAUAAAGCCCUCAGCAUAAUGCCUGAGAACUCUUAAGUAGUAUUAGCUCAGGAUUAUUCUUUAGACUGACAUUGUGCUCGGAGUGAGCAUGUUUUCUCCUUAAACACUAGAGUGGUGGUUCUUUUGAAAUACCCAGUUGGUAAAAUCGGGACUCUCCUGUUACUCCUGCCCCUAGGACUCCUUCUGGAUGCAUGGGCAAGCUCUAGUGAGGCCUAGUACUCAGAAGAAAAGAGAAGGCUUUCCUCUACCCAUGCUCAGGAUGUUGUAGAGUUUUCUGGCUUCUUUCGGCUCCAGGAGCCUGUGUCUGUCAUAGAACAGCUUGGCUCAGCCUAGAACCGGCACUCAGAGCUACCUUUUGGAGAUGAGUACAUUGUAUAUGUAUGCAUGUCCAUCAUUUGUGUACACAUUUAUUUGUAGGGCACAGCUAAAAAUCUCCAGAAAUAUCCUGGGGAAGAUAAAAUUCUUUCUAGGCUUCAUGGUAUCCUAGUGGGGACCACCAAAGCCUAACUUCCUACCCAGAGUCUGAGGAUGGUAAGGUCAACUGGUUCCAUUGUUUCCAGAGCGCUCACAGAAAUCGCCAAUCUUUAUCUGAGUUAGCUUAGCCCCACGAGCCUUCACAUGGGGGUGAAGAAUGAGUUAUACAACUAGGGGUCCCAGGGUUGGAGAGACAGACAAAACAGAGGAGAAUGGUUUGUCCUGGAACUCACAGAAGAGAGCAUCCUGCUUCUGCCUCCUAAGUGCUAGGUCUGCAUCUAGUCUACCUUCUGUCAAAGCUAGUGGGCUUCUUUCUAGCCUCCCACCUUCCCUUAACAUAAUAUAAAAGCACAUUCCUUGGAAUCCUUGGAAUCCACCCGUCCCCCAGCAUUGAGAAUAGAAUUAUAGAAUUUUCUCUUUCUCUCUCUCUCUCUCUUUGUAUGUGUAUGUAUAUGUGUAUGUGUAUGUAUACACACACGUUCUUAAUGACAUUUUCUAAAAUACUGUUGUAAAGUCUUGAAGUAAAAAUUCCACUGGUAGUGGGGCCACAGCGAGAAGAAAAAAAAUUCCAUUGGUGUGUUAAUCUGACAGUGCUACAUAAUAAAAGAACACACAUCUAACAAACCUAUGAUGGCUAAUAUAAAACUCUUACAUAUUAGCCAAGAAGGUCUGGCAGUUUAAAAAAAUGUAUAGACCUGAAUUAAGAUCAUAGCAGGAUGCAAAAACAUAUACAACCUGGGUGAGCCUCAGAGGUGGGCAGACGGAGGGCUUCAUUUUCUUUUAAAGAUGGCAUGCUGCUUGGCUCAAUUCAUGUAACAUUGCUAUAAUGCCAUGUGUGGCAGUAUAUGCCUUUAAUCCCAGCAUUCAGGGGCAGGGGCAGGGGCAGGGGCAGGUGAAUCUCUGAGUUUCAGUCAGGGUAUAUAAUGAAACCUUGACUCAAAGGAACAAACAAAUUUCAGUGACGUACAGGCUAGUAAUUGCCAGGGGAUCAGGAAAGUAGGGCUGGAAAGCCUGAGGUACCAUAAAGUGGCUGUACAUAGGGGCCCUUGAGGCCACAGAAACAUUCUGCAUUGGUACUGUACCCUAAGCUUGAUACGUUUCUAUAGUUCUAAGUAUGUUGCUGGAGGAAACUGGUCAAAGAGUAUAGGGAAUCUCUUUGCUAUUGUUUACAGGCAUAUGUCAAUCUGUGGUUACCUUAGAAUGGAGUGCUUAAAAAGUUACAUCUCGCUUAAGUCAGUAGUACACUUAAAGAUACCAAGAGGUGAAUUAAAAAAUGUAAGAGGAAGAUAGGUGGGUGGGUAAAGAGUUAAACAAUAUAGAGACUUUCUAGUUCACUUGAGCAUUGGGAACAGCGACUUCUCCUUAUGAAUGGACGUUUUCUAUUUACCAAGGUGAUUCUUCUUUCAUCUAAAAUAUCAGCACAAUAAGGAAGGUUACACACAGGUGAGUUAUGCUAAGUCUUGUGGAAAAUGUGGCAUGUCCCAUGUUUCUGAAGCACCUGGAGCCACCCCUGUACCUCUGUAGUCUGACCUCACCCCUACCCCCUCAUCAUGGUAGGGCGAUUCUUCUGUCAAGGUGAGAAAGGCAAUGAUUUCUAAGAUUAUGCUCCCAUUCUGAAUAACCAUAAGGGGCUGCAUCUGCCUUGCUUCUGACACUGAUGCUAUUCAACCAGACUUCCCUCUCCACGGCCUUGCCAAGCAUGGAGAAUGUGGGUUGUAGGUGAUGAAAGGUAAGCUGAUGCCUUGUGAUGGAAAAUGCAUUUAAGGAGCACAGCAGACAACCCAUGUCGAACACCUUUCUACAUGGUUCCAUAUUAAUACAUUUCACCUCUGAACAACUCAGGAAGAAUGUUCUUUUAGUAUGAUUUUAUAGACCGAAGGUCUAGAAUGAAGGAAGAAGUGGUGAAGCCUGGAUUAAAAUUUGGUUUAUAGCUUCAGGACCUGCUUUUUGACCAUGUAACAUUUUAGUUGCACAUCCUGAAAUAGAAGCACCAAUCAAGUAGUGGGUGUGGCAUUCCUCCCAGCCAUGGACAAGGUUGGAAAAACAUAAUUGUCCCUGGUGGCCCAGCUGAGAAAGGGACUGAGUCCUUGCUUUACAGAUCAUGCUGUGGAGCCAUUUUUACCUGUAUAGAUUAUAAUAGCACUGUCUGGUGCACCCCCUCCUUUUGGUGACAGAAUUUAGGGGAGAGACUGGGCUAUAUGUUAAGAUUAUGGUACUUUUAAAAGUUUUUUUGGGGGGGGCGGGAAGGGCAAUUUCUAGGGACUGAACCCAGGGCCUCCCACAUGCUAGCUAAGUGUGCUGAACUCUACUUGUACUCAAAACCCAAAAGACAAAACCUCUAACCCUUUGCCUUGAAUUACACAUUGUUCUCCUGUUUUCUCCGAAUGUGAUAAAUUGUCUUACGAUGGCCCUAAAGCAUGAUUAGAUAUGUACCCAGAUGGCUCCUGUGUCUGGCCAUAACAUACUCUUUGGAUGUUGCCUUAUGAGGGAGCCUCUAAGAUAAGUUCUCAUGGUCCCUGAACAUGGUUAGCUAUUGAGGACUAAGUCAGGAGUUAAGGAUGUGUGUCACUCAUAGCCAUAGCCAUGCUUAGCUCACAGGCCAGUCUGGGAGCCACUCACUAGUUGAUACAUUGUGAAUGAACACUUCAUGCCACCUGGGUUUUGAUAAUGUACGAAGAAGCCAUGACACACAGAAGGACAUCUCAUAAAGUUAUAUAAUAACACCAGCAGGACCAGUAUAGUUCUAAGUAGAGCCUGGAAACAGACACAAAAUCAGGAAAUACAAUCAAGAUAGCUGUUAAAACCAGCAGAGCAAAGAUGUAAGUUUAGUGUUGAAACAACCAUAUAACUGUGGAAAAUAAGUCGGCUUUUUAACUAUUCCAAAUCCAGAUAAACAAAUAAUAUAAACAUAAAGCAUGAAAUAAAAGAUGAUAGAAAACACGGGAGACUUCAUUAAGACAGUCACACAGUGAGCUUAUUUCCAGAUCUGAUACAAACCCCUCAAAUAACCAGACUGAAAGAACUGACUUUGUAAAAAAAAAAAGCAAUAUCCAAGAAACAGUGGGAAAAAGUGUUUUUAAUGACCCAAACCAAAUGUUUUAGGUAUUUAUAAAGGAUAAAACCCUCAUGGUGGAGAGAUGGCUCAGUGAGUAAGAGGGCUUGGCAUGCAAACAUGAGGACCUGAGUUAGGAUCUCAGCUCCCAUGUCAAAAGGUGGGUGUAACUGCAUUCCCGCCUGUAACAGUACCUGUUGAUAGAUAGCUAGGAGGAUUGUUGGGCCUUACUGGCUGCCAGCUCAGGUCCAGGUUCAGGGAGAGACUCUAUCUCAGAGGAGUCAGGUAGUGAUAGGUCAGGACACCUGAUGUCCUCCUCUGGCCACUCCAUGUGCAUGGGCUCCUGCACAGCACACGUGUUCUCCCCACAUGCCCCCCCCCCAUCCAUGGNNNNCCCCCCCCCCAGAUAAAAGAAAACCAAAGCUGUAGCAUACGAUGCUUUAAGUCUUUCCAAUUAACAGGCCCAUCCAUAUGUACUCUUGUUGUCGGGAUCUAGGGAAACAGGCAUAUUUGGGCAGCAUUUACAAUAGUAUAGGGUCUGUGAGGCAUUAUCUACCUAAAUCCCAUUUAAAAUAGGCCGAAGAGACAUCUUAAAGUGAAUCCAUUUGAAAUAAAAAUCAAUACAUUGUGAUAAGCAGAUGAUUGGAAGGUUAUCUUGAAAAAGUGUUAAGUUAUAAAAAGAUUUGCUCAUAUAUAAUAACACUAAUGUCUGCAGACACACACUUUUAGAAAAAUAGCAAAUUGAAAACCUUUAUUUUGUAAAGCACUAUGCAGUACCAUCUUGCAGAGAAAGGAUGUUGUUGCAGAAGUAUGGCAAGGCCUGGCUGAUUUUGAGAGGGGCUGCCCUGAAUCUUCCAUGACCUCACCAACUCUCCCUUAAAAUGCUUAUCUAGAAUUAGCCUGGCUCUUCUUUUCAAUAGAUAACUGGUCUAACUGUCUGAUUUUUCCAUGGAGAAAUUCAUCAGCAAAUCUCUUUCCAACUUGAUGAAUUCUUCUAUAAGAUUUAUAGUUUCUCUUCAUAAGUGAUUUGCUUUGUGUGUGCUUAAUGUUGUUUGGUGGACAAGAGCAGCCUAGAAGGAGCUCAGUCAACAGAGAUGCCAGCAGGGAUAACAUGGAUGGGGAUGGGGAGGCACAGCCAUGUUCAAUGGGGAGAGCAAUUUCAGAGGGAACUAAUUUCAUAAGUGGUCGGUUCAUAAGUGAAUACACUUGAAUGGAUAAUCACUAUUUUUAGCUGCUCUAUACAUUCAUCAAUAGGGGACUUGUUCCAUAAAUCAUGGCAUAAUCAGAGGCUCUGCAGCUGUUAGUAGAAAGGAUGCUUGCUGCUUGUCUGAGUAAAGCUCUAUCUUCGAAUUCAUGUCCAUUGGUGCAGAGCGCCCAUGCUAAACGUGCAAAGUUUCAUUUGGCAUGGCCUCUGGGACAUAUGUCUCAGUCCCUGGCCACUGUGUGCUGUCGGACUCCUGAUUUCUGCAUUGUAUAGUAGCAUCCUUGGGAAUGUUCACUUUCUUCAUAGACUAUCCUUUGGAAGAGAGUCUGGGUCCACCAAUUUAUUAAAGGUACCUUUAGGAAGGUGGUUUUUUAACACCUAGUUUAGCAUUCCUAAUCCUGCACUACCAUCUACAUGACUUUGCCAGAUACUGUUGAGUUUACGUGUUGACUAGAAAUGCGCCUGGUUCCAGGAAUACAGCUAACAACCUGAGGAGAAUAGUGAGCACGUUCUGUCUGGAAAAAGCCUGGCCCAGAGCAAAGGCCACAUCCCCCUUACAACAUCCUGGAAUCCCAGCCACGAGAAAAACAGCACUGUCACCUGCUCACUUGAAUGUGCAUAUAUAAGUAAAACUGCUACUCAGAGUUGCAACAUAUCGUAACAAGCCAGUCCUGUGCAGACAUCUGCAAGACUACGGCACCUACCUGUACAUAAGACACACGUACAAGUAUACAAGAAUGUGUGCCACCCAUGUCCAAAGGAGGCACAGAGACAUGUAUCUUUGCUUAUAUAAAGUCUCUGGGAAGACCUAGCAGAACUAAAAACAUUUAGGAGAAGAAACUUGGGAAUUAGGGUUGGGGUAGGAGACCCUUAGUUUUGUGUUUUUGUUUUUCUUUGCCAUAUUCCUUUCUGUACCCUAAUUUUCACUGUUUGAUUUGUGCAUGUAUACACAAGGAUGUGUGGUGCAUUUGUGGUAUUUUUUUUAACAUAAUACUAGUAUAAAAGGUUUGCUCUGAUGUGCAGUGCAUUUUACUGUGAUGUUUGCUUUUUUAGCACAACAUUAAUACUUUACAAAAGUCUUGUUUGGACAUAGCAGGUGUAGUUCCAGAUCGGGAUUGGCUGUAGGCAGCCACAGUAUGCAUGCUGGGUGGACAGCAUGCCUUGGAGCUGGGAGUCUCUGGUUCAUGUCACUCUGGAGCAGGGGCUGCUCUAGCACAAAGAAGGUUUUGAAAGGCAAAGGCAGAGCCAGAGUCAGGGCAGGCUCUGGGCAGGCUCCAAGAGAGCCAGCAACCCUCUGCUGAAGGGUACCCUGAACCCCAUUGCACAGGCGGGCACCUCCUGUGAAGUGAGACUGCUACACAAGUCUCGUCAUUAUAGACUUUUGAGUGGAGUGAUUCUGAAAGAAGAGAAUGAGUACGGCGUGUCCUACUGUGCCUCAUUAAAUAUGGAAGUUUUUAUGUAACUUUCCUCCAUUUCAGGUAAUCUCAAAUUUGAUAAAUGAAGAAUGACAGCAGUUCAUCUUUCAGUUCAUUUGUGCCUCUAUUGAUCUAAUUGAAUGUUUUCUAUACAAAUUUAUUUUUAAAUCUAUCUUAGAUCUUAGUCUACAACCACAUUUCAUAUUGCCAAAACUGCAUUAGGGAGGGCCAAGUUAUCUUCACCAUUGAAACAGGUCUGCUAGUUUGGCUCUGUCUGUCCUGUGGAAAUGACACAAUGUUGACCUAAGAGGGGGGUCCUCACUUCUCCCUACUGAGUCCCCAUGGUUGGGGAAGAAGAAGCUGUGAGCCCACCCCCAGACCUGCCCACUCAGGACAUGCCCAUGUUGGGCUUGUCUGUGGACUCUGCCCUUGGCAUCCCUGUUGCCCACCUGGGCUCUGGCAGAGAAGUUGGGCGGGAAGAGGCCAGCCGAGUACCCGCCAGUAUAAGAGGAAACGGAGAGAAACAGCUCCAGUCAGCCCCAGAAGGGAGGCCUGGAAAAACUCUGCAGCUGGAGCAAACACAAAGGACUUUUCAGAUCCUGCAGUCAAGGUGCCCAGUGCUUUUUUUUUUUUUUUUUUUAAUACAGCUAUUAGGGUGACAAGCCUUUCCAAAGGCCAGCAGUUGGCGAGAGUUUCCAGGAAGCUGGUCUGGCAUGGGGCUGGGAUCAUAGCAACUUUUAACGAGUGAAGUUCAGAAGGAAAGAGUCAUCAGGAAAGGUUUAAGGUUCAACAAACUUUUUGAAUUAUUUUGCAAAAAAAGUUCUGGCUUUCCAAUUCAAAGGCAUGUUUCCCUGUGAUGGUUUUAAGCCAGAGCUUAUUUCAAAGGCAACACAGACUGCACGUUUCUAAUUCAUUCCCUGGAGAUAUUUGCCUAAUCCUAGAGACAAGCUUUGCAAGUGCCAUCCAGUGCCUGGAGACACUAGAGCCAUCCUACUAUCUUUUCAAACAGCCAUCCACCCACGUGUCUCUCCCCUCUACCAGUUUCUGUGGUUGGGAGUACACAUAUGCACACACCUUCUCUAAGCAGGAAGCUGCUCUUUGCCAAAAGUGAAUGGAAUUCAGAUUUCCAGAGGGUAUCCUUGGUCUCAAGCUCCAACAGCCAUCUGACGAAGAAAGAUGCUAGUGUGCGCGCUGGGGCUGUGAAGAGAGGGGCUUCCGUGUCCAUUCAAAUCUUUCUGGGCCCCAAGAAAAACCAACAACUGGCUGUGCUCUCCCUAGCCCCACCCAGCCUCAGUCACAUUCCUUCCCUUCCUGAGCCCACCCUGGGUGGCCCCACAAACCAGCUUCCACUCCUCCCUUCCCACUAGUGGGGAGACCUAACUCAUGUACUCAUCGAACAGCCAACAGUGAAAAUGAAGGUCACACUGCAAGCCCAGAACAGCUUAAAAGCAGAGAAGGGUCCUCCCCAAUGUCUGUUCUCACCCCAGUCAGAGGCUAUUCCCUUUUUCUCUGUCUAGCAGCCCCUAGGACUAAGCGUUCAUACCUUCCUGUGCUUGCUUCCAGGAAAUCCUAGCCUACUUCUGCCUGUAACAUUCUUGGUCCGGGAAAUGAAGAGGCUGCUGUUUGGGCUGCUGUAGCCUUCGCUACUAGAAUGUUCCAACAUAUUAGGGAUCUCUAUCCCUACCUAAGCCUUCCAAGCCCCAGGAUCCAGCAUCCCUGGGACUUGUACAUUUAUACAUGCUGACAUGGUUUUGAUAAUGAGUCACAGUAGGGAUCAGCAGUGACAAGGUAGACUGGCUGGUCCUAAGCCUAAGUUUCUGGGAUUUGUACUUGUCCAGCCAGGGAGGGAACAUGUGGAGAACCUUCUGCAGCUGUCAGAAGGAAUGAGUGACUAUGGUGGACAUUUUGGUUCUGUGCUCAGCAAGAUACCUAGGGCAGAGACUUGGCUCAAAGGCUGCAAAUCAAAUCCUUUGAUUUCAAAUGAGACUAUUUUCAAUGCCAUAGUCUCCUGGAAGCAGGAUUAUUUCUCCUGAGAUCAGUUCUGGAGGCGAUUGAGGCUUUGCCAUAUGGGCAUUGCUCUCUCACCUGGUUCUGGUUGCUACCAGGUGCUCAGCUUGUCUAAUUACAGUUGACUGUCUCUACUGUCUAUGGCUCUAAGGCCCAGUCUGAUCCUCUUGCUUGGUCAAAAGUAGUGUUGUCCUAGUGGAUUUUCUGGGUGUUCUGUAAAGUGUUAUUAUGGUUUUACUGGCCAGCCUUACUUUCUUUCCUUGGCCAGUCUCAGGUCUCAUCUGUAAGUAUCUGCAUCAUAACCUCAGGUCUACCAACUUCUUCCUGGCAGAGUCUGUAGUGGGCUUGUCCUCAUCACCUUGGAAGGAUCUUCCUGUUCCAGUCCUAGGUUUUGUGCUACUUAAGAAAAUGCCCCAGGUAACUAGCAGUAAUGCAGCCAUUUGAUCUAGCCCUGCUGGAGGUGACUGACAGAACCCCAUACAGAGGAGAUAGGUUCCAUCAGUAAACAGAACAUAGGGGUAAGAAUUGGGCCCGCUUUCUGGCUCUGGUCAUGCCAUUAGGUGGCCGUAUACUCUCUUAUCUCUGAUUGACUUCCAUUCUCUUGUCUUUACAUUAUAUGACACCUCCAAGGAUGUUGUGACCCAAACCCAGACCGCAUGGUCUCCUGAGAUCCUGUGAUGGGGCCAUUGCCCAUUGUUGAGACAGUCUGGUAAAGAAAAGCCUGGUAGCAUGGAGUAUGCAAAGCCUUAGGGAAGAAUAACUGUUUGUUUGAGACAGGUCUCAUUUAGCUCAGUUUGUUCUCAAACUCAUUGUCACUGAGGAUGACUUUGAACUUCUGAUCUUCUUGCCUGAAGCUCCUGAGUGCUGGGAUUACAGAUAUGUACAACUAGACCUAGUUUAUGCCGUGUUGGGGGUCAAACCCAGGGCUUCAUAAAUGAUAAGCCAGCAGCUCUCUAACUGCUAAACCAUAUCCCCAGAGGGAAGAAUAUCUUCAGUGAGGCCCUGAGCCUCUGGGCUGGACUACUUUACCCCUCCCCCUGUGCACAUAGCAUGCUAAGUUCAGUCAAGCCUGGAGCCUUUUGUCAAGCAUUGCUCCACUGAAGGUUGACCAUGCUACCCUCCCCCCCCCCCACACCCCAGGCACCUGCAUCUGGAGCCCACACUCCUAGCUGGUAGAGUUCAUAGGGUAGGUUUUUGUUUUCUGAAAAAGACUAUUUCAGUGUUUUGAAUUAGCAGAGUUUCAAUUUAAUUUAACAAUUUCAAGCUCGGCGGUGGUGGCACAUGCCUUUAAUUCUAGCCUUUUAAACUGCCAAGAGGCAGAGGCAGGCAGGUUUCUGAGGCCAGUCUGCUCUACAAAGUGAGUAUUCUAGGACAGCCAAGGCUAUAAAGAGAAACCUUGCCUCUAAAAACAAACAAACAAAUAAACAAACAAACUCCAUAUCCAAACCUGAGGGAAAUAAAAGUCUGGCUACCUCCAAAGGAGGUAGACUUAGGCAAGAGAAAAAGAUCUUGGAGUAGAGGGCAGGGUGUUGGCUCACACAUAUGGCCUAAGUGUAGUCAAGGCCAGGGCAAGGGGACAGGCCCAGAACAAAUGAGCACUUUAAGUCCCAGUAUGACCUUCGCCCUACCAUCUUCACCUCAGGUACAGAGACCAGCUGCCUAGGAAAUUAAUGGUGGGGCCCAGAGGACAGCUGCUUAGUGCUACCUACUUCAAUGAACCUAGUUCUGUUGGGGCAGCAAGUUUAGGCCCUAAAGCAGGAUAGGUAAGAACCCUGCCUGAGAGUAUGUGUUUGUAGAGAGCUCUAUGUUCUCUAAGCCUCAUCUUUCACCCUUCUUACCUGCCUACAACCCCACAACAUAAAUACCUCCUAACUACCUUGCAAAUGCAGCCUCAUUUCUGCCUCAGUUCUCCAGUAGGGCACCAUAAGCCACUGUUAGGACAGAGUAAUACUUAGAGUUUGAUUUUAUAUGAGGGCUUACAGCCAGAGUCCUCAGAGAGAAGCCAGGUAGAAUAAAAGUGAUCCCUGAAAACAUCUUGAAUUACACCCUUCCCCAGUAAUCUCUCUCAGAGCCCUCUGAUCUCUUGCUUCUAAGUUGUUCUCAUGUCCCCAAAGAAGAAAAAGCUCUCAGGGGACCUGCCAAUUGUCUCUGGACUUCUGGGGCAGCAGCUCCAUGUGUGACGAGAUUACGUAGGCAGAAUAUCUAAGCAGAUGGUGAAGCCAGGAUUAUGGAGCUAGAAAUGCUUGGCUGAGUAGAGACUUAGACUAGACCCCUAUCUCUUGCACGCGCCGGACUCGCCAGCAGUAACAAUGCUGCAACAGGAUCCUUCUGCACACAUUUAUUGGGAGAGCUUGAUUGCAGAGGCGAAGAGACCCCGAGCCCAGAACUGGUGCUGCUUAUAUAGGCNNNNNNAUACCUCAUUUGCAUGUCUCACAUCUGAUUGGUUAUACUCUCAAAGCCUCAUUAUCAUGCCCGGGCCAGGCAGUGUCUUUGCAAAAAAUUUUACUGCAUGUGUACACAUUGGUUGUUUGUCCAAACUUAUGCGUGGUGGCCAGCAGUAGUGAGCGCCACUCUGCAACAGCACAUGUGGCUUCCCACACCUAUCUACUUCCCCCCAUUCUCUUCCAUGUUUCCAAGAUGUCACCCAGAUCACCCAUAGAUCCAGCCAUGGGCUUAUCGUCAGACCUCUGCUAACCAGUCAUUGCCAAGGAGAUGCGUCUCAGGUAUGGCUUUUGCCAAGGACACCUGAACUCUCCUAAAAGGAAUACAAAUAUAGGCAUAAAUACUGAGUUGGAGGCUUCGGGGCACCAUGAGAAGCUUAAGAGGAAAGGACAUCCUAGUUCCUAGUCUCUGAGAUCUAGAGAUGCUGGCAUGGCCUGGAAGCCAGUGAAGGCUCCUGGCUUCCUUAUGUGGCAAUGUCAAUCACGGUAUACUUAACAGGCUGAAUUCACAGAAUUCUCAUGGCAGAAGGUGAUCAGAUGACCAGUGCCCAAACCCACCAUGGACUGUUCAAAUCUACCAAUGGUCAUAAACUCUCACGUAUUACUGAGAGUGCCAGCUUACUACUUACUCUCAGGACUUCAACCUGACCUUCACCAAAGGAGACGUAGGCCCCCAGUGACAGUGUGUCCUAGAAUGAGCCUGGCUCUUCCAGUAUUUCUUGUGUGAUAGUAGCAAGUUUCUGCCCUUCCUGAACCUUUAUUGUCCCCUUUUGUGAAGCUGAACACUGACCCACUAAGUUCUCCAGCUUACACAGAUAUACAUUAUGUAUAUCAGCUAACUAUACCAUCACCAACUCUAGCACCAGAAGUGCAGCACAGGCUAGCACUGAAAAACUAGUUUGUAAAUACUGUGGCUACAUUUGGGUUUAUCUUUUCAACAGAGAGCCUGCUUCCUAUCACUUGCAGGGCCAAAGGAAAGCAGGAUAUAAAACUUACCCCUCUCCUUAGUCUGUCUGAAGGUAGGUGCUUUUGAGUAAGCAAGUCAGCCCAAUGAUGAUGGGACCAAAUAUUGAAGCACACAGAGGAACCUUUAACUGCCAAAGGCACAGUCCUUGGAUCCCAUGUCCGACUUCCUCAUCAGAGUUAUGGGUGCUAGUCUCCUGCUUGUAUCUCUAAUUAUAGGAGUCAAAACAGCUCACAAGCCCCUUCCCCAGCUACUUCAGGCUUUAGUCAGGACUUGUAGCCUUCCCCUGCUGCUACAUAUUCCAGAUCAUCCCAGAGCUCAGUCCUCUUAAGUCUAAUUUUAUCCUGUUUAGGACAGCACUUGGGAUGCAGCCUGACCCAUUUGUAGCCCAUGGAAAAUCAUUACCUGGCAGUUUUUAAAGCUGUCAGGUCAAAUAAGCAAAACCUUAUGGGGUCUCCAGUCACAAAGGGAUACUUUAUACUUUCUCAAGUAGUUCCCCAAGUCAGGUAUAUGACUGGAUACCUGUCCACAUUUGCUAAAAUGUAUAUACCAACAGAGGAAGAUACAUUCUAAAUGUGUUAAUACACAAAGAGAACUGUAGCUCAUAGACAUUAAGAAAACUGCUUUAGGGUCCUGUGAGCAGGAUUGGAUGACCCAAGCCUGCCAGGGUUUCCUGAAAGAUGGUCCGUAGCCACUGUGAGCCCACAGCAAAUGCAAGCUUCCCAGGGCUUCCUGGAAGACACUGUUCUUAGCUAUUGCGAGCCCACAUCAGACCAUAAGCAUAUGCAGAAAACUACAGUAAGAGGACAGGAAGGUGACCGAAAUGGCUGGAGAACCAAUCAGGCCAUUGUUCCGCAGAGCCCUCAUAGGGCCAUUACAAAGGACAUUUUCCUAGAAACUGAUGCAUAUAUAUUGAAGCAAAGGCCUUACAGAGCCAGCCAAGCCAGCCAUGAGGAAGAACUGAGGGAGCCUGCAUACCCCAGCCCUCAGGUCCUACUGGUAAACAGCAAUGAUAAUGAAAGGGUAACACUGGCCAAAGAGAACAACCUGAAAGCUGACCAGUUGAACAGAGGACAGUCCAGAGAAUAACCAUAUGCCAACAGCGAGCUGAUUUAUAGUGACACUGAUAUGACAGGGCAGUGGGAGAAGGAUGGUGCUGUAUCAGACUGGAUGUCCAAGUGGAGGAAAAAGCUUAUCUUGACCUUGACUUCACACAGGACACAAAAAUCGAUUCCAGAUGGACUGCAGAUCUACAUGUGAAAGGUGAGCUUUUAAAGCUUUAGAACAAACCAGAAUAUCUUUAUGACCUUGGAGUAGUCAAAGUUUCUUAAGUAGGACAUAAACAGCACUAUCCAGAGAGGAAAUGUUUGAUUAACUGGACCAUGUUAAAAUUAAGACCUUCUGUUCAUCAAAAGACACCAAGAGGGGGCAGGACAGUCCGCAAGCAGGGCAGUAUUUACAAUACAUGUAUCUGUGUAUCUGACAAAUGACUCACACUUAAGAACACCCAGGACAGAGAGAGAUAAACUUGUGCCUGAAGAAGAACAGCUCUCAGUAUAGGAUAUAGAUGUCUUACAGAGAUCUAUAAAGAAAUGAGAAUAUAGAAUGGGGCUUAGCUCACUGCAAAUUACAGAUACCACUCUGAUGUUAUGAGAAGCCAGGAUGGCUAAAAAGGAAAUAGUGAAAAAUUCCAAGUGUGUGUGAGGAUGUGGAAAAAAGUGGAAUAUUCACAUGCUGCCAAGCAGGGGUAAAAGUUGGGGUGACUGCCAUGGGAAACAGCUGAUCCCGCAAUGACCCAGCACUUCUCGGCAUACAAUUAGCAGAGAUAGCCAUAACUUUUACCAGACACAUAUAUGUAGAAUAUUCUUAGUAACUCACUACCCAGAUCUGCCCAGUGGUCAUGGGUAGUAGAAUGAAAGAGCAAAUCACAGGCCACUCAGAACAGAGUGUCAACGAUCAAAAGGCUCCCGAGACCACUGUUUUCUUCAGCCUCACUGGGAGGGGUGGGUGGUUCUCAGACAUCAGAGUGAAUGAAAGUGCCAGAUACAUGUGUGUGCCGUGUGCGAUCUAGCCAUGUAGAUUUCAAACUCGGGCAAAGAAGGCUGUUGUGCUGGGAAGUGAGCUUAUGGUUUGUUCUUGGUGUGUCCAUGAUAGGAAAUGGGAUCUAGGGGACUCCCUGGGGAUUCUACUGCUUUCUUUGGAUGCUUGGCUCUCAGGUAGGGAGAAUGCAGUAGGUUUGUACUGGAAAUCUGUAUACGUUACUCUUUUGAUGUGUUCCCUUUCUACUAUAAGUAAGUUUGUAACCCAGUGCUCUAUAGAAGACAGUAUUUUCUGAGCUUUAGUAGAGACACAACACGGUACAAGCCCAGAGGGACUGGCCUUGCCGCCUGACUACCACCUUGUUUAGAAGGAUAUAUUACUCCAGUACCCCUGACCAGACCACCAGCAGUCCCUAUUGUUCAGUUUCCACUUCCAGCUCUAGGCAAAGCAAACAGAAGAUGUAUUUGAGGGGCUCUCUCUGUUUUUCAGAGUACCUUUCUUUUAUGGUAUCGGUGUAGUAUGUACUGUCACACUACUCUCCCUGGCUUCUCUGUCUCCCUCAGAACAAUUCUAGGAGGUUGCUGCAUCCCUUUUCAUGUGCUUAGAUGAAGGAAGUGAAACUAGGGAAGGUUAGGGGCACUGGGGGCUGCCUAUAGCUGGGCCAGUGCAGGCUGGGAGCCAGAUUGAGGGCAUUCGAUUCCCAGUCCCUCUCUUUCCCACUGAGCCACUGAGCCACUCCGCCUCGCUUUUAAUUUAAUUAGGAGAACAUUUAAUCCCCCGUGCAUUUCAGAGACGGGUUUGAGCCUGGCCGGGGCCUUGUGGGGCUCUGACAGGGAUCCUGUGACUCAUACAGCCUUGCACAGCCCUCCCGGGAGGGCUCUCAUGGGGCUUCUUUGGCACCUUAUGCAGACAGAGGUGGUCUGGAUAUUCACAGAAGACAGGACACUAGUCUGGAAAGACAAACUGGUCUCAUCUGUUCUUGACAAGUCCCCUUCCCUAUCCUCCUGGACACUGCCCCCAACAUGGCCCCUCCAUCUUCUCCCAUCAUCAUUUGCAGGUUGAGAAGCCAAGUAAGAGAAAUGGGUGCUCACUGAGGUACCACAGCAGGCCCUGAUUGUCUCCAGGCCCUGAAUAUCCCAGGCAAAGCAGUCCCAUCAGAAGAGCUAGCCCCCUAGUCCACUAAUGCUCCCCUUCCAGAAGGCAUAGGCUGGCCCCAGCCUCGCUGACAAACGCAGAAUUCAGGAGACAUUAGUAGUGAUGUGGAUGAAAGCCAGGCCACAGCGGGCCUCCCUGGAAAAGAGAAACUCGAACGUCUUGGCGUGAGAUUCUGCAGGGUCCAGGAGAAAGUUGAAGACAUGGAAAUUCUAAUUAACGCACGAGGGGCUGGUUUUGCUCAAAGAUUUUUGAAGCUGUCAUGUCAAAAGAGGCCCGGCAAGCACAUGCUCGCCCGGGAGGUGCUUGUGGGCACCUGGUGGGAUUCUUGCAAUGUCCUAGCCUGUAUUCUUACUUUCCCUCUGUCCUCUAGACUUUUCUCCACCCAUCUUGGUAAACUGGUGGCCCCUGAAUGUCAUCCCAGAGUGGGAUGGCAGGCUGGUUAGUAAAUAAAUGUUGAGGCUUCCAGUUGAAAAUGUCACAUCAAAAAAGUCUGAGGGCUCAGGAACCAACCUCUUGGAAGAAACCUUUAGGGAAACUACAUGGCAGAGCCAGGCUGAGCUAUAGGCUGCUGUGCUUGUGGUAGGCUUGGCAUUUGGGGAUGUUCAUCUUAGAUAUCCUUGUGCAACGGAUGGGGCAAUGGUUCCAGACAAGUUCUGAUUGAUUCAUCGGCUGGAGGGUGGGGUGAAGUGGCUGUAGGAGAAGCUCACUGAGGUCAAACCCAGACAUGCUUCUUUAGCGUUGAGCUAUAGGUGCUCAUGUCCUGGGCCCUGUGUAUGUCUCGGCAUCUAUGGGACGUACCUGGAGACCUUGCUUCAUUUCAGGCAAGGCUAAUGAUGUGCUUUCUGUGUCAGAGUAGGACUGGCAAUCUUAGGGUUCUUUCAUCCUGGAGUUUUGGGGAGUGCUGGAAAAAGAGUGGCCAUGAGCAGCCACAACACUCUGCUGCUUGCCUGACCCAGGCUAGAAUCAGGGAGCUUUGAUGAUAGCCUCAAGAUGAUGUGAGAGGCAUUCCUGGGGAAAGGGAGGACUGAGUAGACACUGGAAAGAUGUGCAAUUCUGAUGGCUACAGGACCGACAAGGACAUUCCAGCUGGUGGGAUGCAAAUGAGCCCUUGCCAGUUAAUCCCAGUAAGCAGAAUCCUGGAGACUUGCCCUAUUAGUUGUAAAGAUACUCCCCAUCUCUCGUGGCAGUGGGUCUCUAUUUCCUACGUGGCCCUUAGAAGUCUGGAGCAAGGCUUUAGAUAGAGGAUUCAUGUUGAGGGAGAUUGAGGAGUACAGGGCUCCCUUCCAGUGAUGUUAGAACCAGGAAGACAGCAUCUGACUGAAAUAUGUAUGCAACACCGAGGCCCAGAUAUCCAGAUCUGGACGAUGCCUGGGGCUUACUUGAGGAGCUGCUGGUACGUGCCUGUUGAGCUGGGGUCAGAGAAGCAAUAUUGUCUUCUCAGCAUCCUUCCCUAUUUACCUCUCUGGUUUUCAAUAGGCCUGCACCUUGGCCUCUCUGUCCCCAAACUAUCAGUGGCCAACCGGCUCUGAAAAGAGGAGCUUCACCCAGCCCCAGGGACCUUCCCAUAAUCAAGGCUACAGUGACCUCACCUCCCUAGGGCCCCUGGGCGGGGAGAGCUUGAGAUGGAAACAAAAUGUGUCUUUAUUUAUGCUUUUAAUUUGAAUUCUGGAACUGGCCCAGCAUGGUAAUACAUUUAACAUCAGUAAAAUGCUGAAGAAAAAUGGAUCUGUUUUUCUGCAACUGCUUCCCACCCACUCUGCUCCCUGCAAGACCCUAGUACACAUCUCUGUCCCUGGUAGACACGUACGAGGGUGUGUGCCUCUUUUUUCAGUGUAGGUUCAUAGGGCCAGCUGCCCACAGGAGCCAUGCUGCAUCAGUGAGCUGCUGGAGCCUAGCUUAAUUACAGACAUCAAUCAACAGGCUGACUAUGCAAGAGGCAAAGGAAUGCAGCCCUGGUGUGGGCACGUGGGCCCCUUACACAGUACCCAUGAUGGCCUAUCUGCUCCCCUAGAAUGGGGAGGGGUCUUGGUAAGGCCAGUAGUCCUGGGAGCACAUCAGGUUCUAGGACCCAGACACACACCAGGCCUAUGGUCAUGCUCUCUGCUAGGACUUCCACCAAGGAUGGCACUAGACUUCUACAGAUGUGGGUGUCUAAAUUCUUAGAUGCCUCAACCCUGACUCCAACUCUGCUUUGACCAGAUUAUAUUUUUUGCUUAAGCCUAUGAUCUCUCUAUCUCUACCUUAGGUCUUUUAACUCAGCCCCACCGUGGGCUCCUCCUUUCCUCCUUUCCCACCUUCCUAGAUUGGCUUGUUCCCAGCUGCUGCAUUUGGAAUAAGUUGGCCUAGAAAGAGUCUUGGUGUGUUCUUGGGUAGAGACUUGACUGGAUAAAGACUGUCCACCUACUCAGGUUCCAGGAGUGCUGGCCUGAGAAGAGCUGUGGUACCUGGAAAGAUGGUGACACACUAGGCCUAUAGAGACCAAGAAAGCAUCAUUCAUGUCUCUGAGGUUCUGUUACAGAUCUGUUAUCAGAUUUGGCCUAGUACUCUGAGCAGAGUCGUCUAAGUGGCUUAGGGCUGCUUCUAGAACAGAUAGACAGUAAAUGUCUGGCUCCAGGAGCUUUGAGUAUACUAAUACCAGCACAGGUGGCCUUUUGCCCCCAAAGGUGUGGUUAUAGGGCAUCUAUGGACUGAACUAUGGUCAUGUAUCACCAGUUUCCACCCUCCCUUGGGACCUCGUUGGUGCUCACAGUAGCUAGGAGAUGUGAGACACAUCUAUCAAGGUAGAUGGUUUGUUGAGAGCGCUACUCUCAUUGUAGCUGCUUCUGUGUCUGGAGGUUGCUCCAUGGCCAGAAGAAUAAAAUGGAAUGGAUACCAAUGAGAGGUGAGUGAUCAGGGGGAUAAGAAGGCUGACUGGUCUUUCUAGGCGUAGGCAAUUCCCUGAGGCCUGCUAUGGUUGCCAUGGUGCUACUUACUAUCCUUACUCCUAAGCAGGCACUGGCAUAUCCAACACCAGCCACAAGACACCAGUGUUUACACUUUGAGUUGUCUCAUGCCGUGGACUUGAUGGAGAGACUUAACCAUAGUGUAAGCUAUUUUUCUACCCUCUGACGCCAGCCUAUACCUGCCUAGCCUGUCUGGACUCCUGUUCCCACACCUCUGUUCCCGCUUGCUAAUGCAGCCAGCCUGUAAGGCUAUCUUAGGAGGGAGAGUGACCCCUGCUUCUCAAUAACAUUCUCGCUCUCUCUAAACCCAUGAACCCUCUCUACAUCUUACAAACCACGAGGCACUGCUAACCUCGUUUAAGUUUGGGUGGUCUGGGAAGAUAGUGGGCAUGCCUUGUUUGAUCAUAAUCAUUCCUCUGACAAGCCUGCCUUCCCCCAGGGUGGCCUCAACUUGGCUAUCUGGUUACUUAAGAAACCCCCAGCACUGUGAGUCCAAGUUUCUUCAGUCAUUGUAAAGUCAAGCCUGAAAUCUAGGCAUAGGCCAGAAGCGUUAUGACUACACAAGGUUAAGGACAUGAAUUUUAGUAGAAAGAGUGGAAGAGUCUCAGAAUGCGAAUCUCAGGAAAACUAAGAGCAUGGCAUUAACAUCCUGGCACAGAAACACUUUUCUAGAGGAGUGCCCCGUGGGGCAGUGGUCAGAAGCAGUCUGAGUGACCUGCCUCCACCACAUCGCUGCCUCUCCUGAGUUUUGGUAGGAACAUUUGAGUCACAUGUUGCAGAGAAAUCAUGGCAUGGCUGGGUACUAGGGUUUGUCCUGGUGAUGCCUUGAUGGGGGCCCAAAUGGGGGGAGAGGAUGGGCAUGUGUCCCAGGCCAGCUGUGCCUGGGGGAAGGCCAACUGGAAGGCGUAGAAAAUCAGCCAUUUCCUCCACCUGAAGGAGCCCCUGAGGACAGUAGUGGCAACUAGCAUCUGCCCCAUGGCUUUGGCCAAAAUCCCACAGGGAAAUGCUAAAAAAUAAUGUUAACUCUCUUGAAGGAGUGGUGGAGGGGUAGAGGGGAGGAAAACAACAACAACAACAACAACAACAAAACCAACCCAAGUUUCUCAGACGCUCAAAGCAUGCAAACAAGUGGAAAAUGAUCAGUCUGGUUUUCCAUAAGUCAAAACAAGAGGAUCAUGUUUCCAGAUUCAGUGGGAAAGCCCCUGCCCUUCUCUCCUGCCUGAGCCCUGAGGCCAGCCCCAGCAGCCAGUGUCCCCAGGUUCAUAAGGAUAGGCAGUGAGUUGUGGGUACUGGGUAAAUAGACUGCAUCCCAGCAAGAGGAUAAGCUUUGCCCUAUGCUAGGGCAGUUCCCUUGAGCCCCAGCCUUUGAGGGCAAAUGGACACUCACUGUGACACAUGGGUGAUGGGGGUCAGCAGUGUCUCCCCUUCCAGGUCCAGGUCCUCUGCAAAGCUGUUUGUUCUCAAGAAAUGGGGUGUGCUUACUUCCAGCAGUGUAGGGCUCUUCCUUACUGUGAAGAAGGUAUGGGGACAGCUCAUUAGGCUUCAAUAGAAACUUGAUCAUGAAGGGGAUCCAGAACUGGACAGAACUAGACUCAAAUGUCCACCCCAACCUGCUAUUGCUAUGGGAUAAACCUGUAAGCUCUCAAGAUCAGGUGAAGAGUGAGGACAGAGCUUGGAAGUUUUAGCCUUACCCAUCAGGUUGGUUUACACUGAGUGGAAUAAGUGAGUGGGCAUUCACUUAUUCCAUUCACUUAUGCCCAUUCACUUAUUGAUUGGUCCCCAGGUACCUGGGGACUUAGCCUCCCAGGGUAAACCAUAGAGGCUGGUACAUUCUCCCCAGUGUUGUAGCUGCCCUGGGGCUGAGUUCCAGGACUGAGUAAGGUUCUGCCCUAUGUAUGUUAAGUUCUAGGCCUCUCACCAGCUUCACAUAAAACAUUUGUGCCAAGAACAAAUGAAAGCACUGAUCUCCACUACUGUGCUAUUCACACACAUACACUGACAGAUCAGUGGACCAUGCAACAAAAGGUGCUAGUACCUCUGCUUAUCAGGAAUCACAAGCUGAAUUCCUUGUUCUGGUCAUGAUGCCUUAUUAACCGGGUUCUCUCUGAGGGAGGCCUCCAGACUGUCCCAAUAGCUGACUUCCAUAGCUCAGGGCACUGAUCCAGAUUAGUCUUCACAGCAUUUCCAGCUUACUAGUGUUUGCUCUCAACUCACUUCUCCUUUAAAGUAUCUAAUAUAGUAUUAAGUACUUCUGAUGAGUGGAAUAUUGAAAAAUUCACAGUGGUCCUCAAUUAUAGGAAUCAUCUGCUGCCCGGGACCCUGGCUUUUCUGGUAGCACAAAUGUGAGGUCAUAAACUUGGGCAGACUUCUGUUCUUGUCAGUUUUUCUUACUCUGCGACAUUCUUUUCUUUAGGUAUGCAGCUAUGCAUCUAAUGAUCAUUUUAGCAGCACAUGAGCCCAUAGCUUAGGUCUACCACAAUUAACUUUACUCAUCCCAUAUUUUAUGGAUGUUCAGUCUUGUAGUUUUAUGACAACCAGACAGUGAUGUAAUAUCCAUCUUCGUUGUUAAAAGUUGUUGAUAUACUGGGCAGGUGAGAUAGCAUGACUUUGGUAAUAUUAAUAAGUGUUUUUGGAUUGUUCUUCUGUUAAGUUGUAGCCAACUAUUCCUCCCCUUCAAUUUUGCUUGGCCUUUUAAGCAUGGAUAAACACUGAGGCUUUCUCAUUUUCAAAAUUGUUAUUAGUUCUUUGAGACUAUGAUCAACGAACUUUGAUCCUCAACCACCUUCUAACUUCUCAAUUUUGUAUCCUCUUGUUUUAAAAUUCAAUAAUUCAUCAACUUCAGUUUGUGCUCUCCAUGUAAUUCUGGGUGUGGGGGCUGUAAUACUGCAGUAUGAAUGACCCACCAGGAGUUAGAAUGUUAAGGAAAAACUCUCCUUUCCCAGGAGCCAUUAAUUGUCCAUAGCUUUUCAAGAACCUCUUGGGGUUCGUGAAAUUCUUGUACUCAAUGAUACAGUGUUGACUGGCUUGAUCUUGUGUAGGCAAUCAUGCAACUGUCCUGUCAUGCCCAGAAGUUAGUUUGUUCCAGUCGUCGCCUAUCUCUGGCUCUUACAGUCCUCCCAUCCCCUUUUAUAAUGGUCCUGGGCCUGUGAGAGGGGGAUGGUUUUCUCAUUUUCAUAUUCACUGACUGCUUCUGGCUUGUUUGGGAUUCUUCUUUCAGAAUUGCCCGUUAAUAACCUUUGCUUGGCAUUUCAAAGGAACUUUUAAUUCAUUAGAGAUAAUAACCUUGUGUUACAUGAAGCAUAAAUAACUUUCUUGGUCUAUGUUUGUCUUUUUAACACUCCGUUGUUUUAUCAUAAAGACUGUCUUGUUUUUUUUACAGUGAUGCAUUUACUUUAUGGAAUGGGUUUCCCACAACUACUACAGCAGUCUUUUACAUUUAUUUCCAAUAUAAACAUACAAAUGUGGGCAUACAUCUGUAUGUGUAUAUAAAUUUUAACACAUUUAGCAUUUAUGUGUAAUGCAAAGGAUGUUUAGAAGUCAUACAAUGGAAAUACAAGAACACUAUAUAUAGUCUUUUAAAAAUCUGAAAUAGAACAUAAAACUAAAAAAAAAGUUAAGAAAACUUCAAAAUCUCUAGGACUUUAGAUUUGAAAGAGAAUUGAGAUGCAACACCGAAAACUUAAUCCAAGUGGGGGAGGGGACUCAAUUUUAUUAUAAUUAGAAACAAAUGAGUUAUUCCUGCAACAAGUGCAUUUUUCUAAGUAGCAACAGAAGCAAGGAGGAACAGGCUCACUGACUGUUAAAAUGCUGUGCUUUGUGAAGGCAAUGAGACAAGUCACAGAUUUACUGCAUAUCACUUAAUGGAAUCAAGGGCCUUGUACCCAGAGUAUAUAAAGAAGAAUGAUCAUAAUUUGACAACAGUGAAGCAAACAACCCAUCUUAAAAAGUGGAUUACAAAUAAGCAUGGGAAAUUGUGCUCAGCCACAGUCUAUGGUCUUUAUGGAAAUACAAUAUUAAAGCUUCAGUGAGAUAACCCUGAAAAUUAUCAUGAAGAUGGAUAAAGCAUUAAAUUAAAACCUUGUAACAGCCAGCACUUCAAGGAGGCAGAAUGACUGCAACCCUCAUGUGCCCGAGGUGGGAAUGCAAAGUGGCCCAACUGCUCUGAAGAACAAACUUCAUAGCCUUAUAAACACACAUAUGAUUUAUGACUCAGUGUAUGGGAUAUUUAAGUUCACAUAAAUCUGCACACAAAAAUAUACAGCAAUUUUACCUCUAGUUGCACCAAACAAGUUAUAACCAAGAUGGCAACAGUGAAAUGAAUAAAGAAAUCGUGGUGUGUCUAUCUGUCCCACCUAUGCAGUGGAAUAAUGUCCAGCAAUCAACUAGAAUAUUGGAGGAUCCUGGGACAGAUAAUAGACUAUGGUGAGUAGACUGUGUGUUGUGAAUACAUGAUAGAGCACUGAAGAGAGAAGGUGGGGUCUGGGGGAGGAGGAACUUGCUAACGUUGCUUUAAAAAAUAAUGUUUGGACUAAAGAAAACCUAGAGAAAAAAUACUGACAUAAACACAAUAUUCUUGUAGAUAAUUUUGUUUCACACAGGGGUACUGUAUAUCAAGGAUUAUACAAACCAGUAUCUAUACUAGAAAAUGGGAGCUGAGGACAAAGUAAGGAUAAUCAGAAACAGUAUAAACUCGAGGUAAGCUGCAUAAAGAUACAAACCCUGAAACAUGGAUGUAUAUAGACUUUCAUUAUAGACAUACAUAUUUCCUAGUUCUACCUGCAGAAAGGAUAUGUUAUCAGUGACCCUUUUGUGGCAAAGAACACACUCUGUGCCCAGGUCAUAUAUAACACUGUUAGUCUGCCAAUAAAAGCGAAUAUGGCUCCUUGGAAGAAUGGCCGCUUCUGGGGCUAGCACAGGGAAACUACACGAUGAACCUAAAAGGAACUAAAUGGAAAGCAUGUCUAAAGGGCUCCUGUACAAGUGGCUAAAGUAGAAAAAGGUUAGCCACAAAACAAUAAUCCUCAGCUAUACCCCAGAAACACAGUUGCCAAGUCCGUCUGUAUUUCUAAAUAACUGAAAGUGAGAUGAAAAAAGUGAUCUCUGUAAGUGUAGAAGGAACGAGUUAACCAGAAGUGCACCGUAGAAAUGCUUGAAAGAUCCGUGGAUGAAGGCUAGAAUAGAAUUAGUAGGUGAAAUCUUUUUUUUUUGUAAUUAUUCCUUCAUUCUCUUUAUUGAUCCAUGUUGAACAUAUACAAUAAACUAAAAAGCCACUUUGUUCAUUUAAUUAUCAUAUAUGAUUGUAUUGUCCAUUUUACAGUUAUGUUGUUUUCCAGUGACAUUGAUUGAAUCCCGGGCUUUGUUCAUGCUAGACAAGCAUUCUGCCACUACACUACAUCCUUAGUCCCAAAAUAAAUUUUAAUUGCUUUAGUGAUUUUAACACAUUCACAGAGUCUCUAAUACUCUUUGCAAGAGAUAGAAUGAAAUUCCUCAUUCUCCGAAUGUUGGCCAGACCUGGUGACUUGCUUUUAAUAACUAGGUCUAAUAAAGGUGAAAUAGUGGGUCAAUUACAGUGAGCUAUUUAAUCAUGUAAAGUUGACACCAUGGUGAUGGAAGAAAAUGAGAAAAGCACCUUGCCUUAAUGACAUUUACGACACCUGUAACCCUAUUCUAAUUUUGAGAGAAUGUUAUACAGACCCAGAGUAGCACUGACAUUUGAUAAGUAUUUAAAAGCAUCAACUCCAGUGACAGUACUGACAGGACACCAAGGUCCUGCUGAAUGAGCGUGAUGGUAGAUAUUGGACAGGCUCUUGGAGCAUCAAACUGGGAGAAAGACUAAAGUGUAGCUCUACAGCAUUGUAUUAAAUUAAACUUGUUUUAGUUUUUAAUCAAAGUAACAUGGUUAUGUGAGGUACUUCGUGAAAGGUACAUUGCAAGACUAUUUUUUCUUUUACAAGAAUAUGUAAUAUAUGCAAAUAAAACACACAAAUUAAAAGGGAAAAGAAGCAGAAUAGUAGAAAAGAAUCUCUAGUGUAUAAAGAUAGAUUAAAAACUAUUAAGAAAAGCACAAAACUUUAAACAGAGACACCGACAAACAGAAAACUGCCUUUAUUGCAUUGACAAAACACUCAAAAAAUUCUGAAAAAUCCUAAAUUUUAAUUAAAAUCCUAAUGUUUGUGGUGAAUACUCUGACAAGUGGAUUCUGAGAUGUAUUUGGAAGUGUAAAAGACCAGGGAAAAGUAAUAUUCUUUAAGAACAGGGUGGCUAAUAGGCUUAUCAAAAACAAGUACUUCAACAUAGUAGUCAUUAAUACAAUGUAGAACUGAUUCAAGGAGAGACUUAACUGGCUAGUGGGAUAGAAAUGGAUGUCAGAAAAUAGCCUACCCAUGGACACUUGCAAUGUAUUAAAGGCUUACUUAUCAUGAGAUGGCCUUUUAAAUGACACAUUCAAGGACAAGGAAAUUCACAUGGGGAAAACACUGAACUGGGCCCUUAAUUUUCUCACAGCGUACAUUGAAAACACAUUCUUGGUGUUUCAGGGCUUAUGACAAGUAGAACUAGAAGGACCAUAGGCCUGGAUAUAGAAGAAUAUCUACAUUGCUUUGGGGUAGAAUAACUAAGAAGCAAUAAUCAAAAAGAAAAAUAGCAAUUUAGCCACAUUCAGAGUCAAAACCUAGAUAUCUAAAUACAUUUUAAAUAGUAAAAAGGGAUUCAAAAAUGAUAAAACAUAUAAAAAGUUAGGUAAAUCAGUAAGAACAAAUAGAUAAGUCUGGUGGCGCAGGUCUGUAAUCGUAGCUACCUAGGAAGCUGAGGAAGAAGAAAUAUUAUGUUCAGGACCUUGCUGGGACAACAGUGAGUCAAGAUAACUCUCAAAGAGCAAAAUGAGGGCUAGAGAUGGCUCAGUGGUAGUGUCUUCCCACUAGGUAUAAGACCUUAGGUUUAAUUCUCUAGUACUGAAAAAAAUGACCUAACCGAAAAAUAAGCAAGACACCCUACACCCACCCCCUUCAAAAUGAGACAAGAAUUCAAAAGCGUGAUGAGCUUAUGGAAAGGUGUUGUGCCUGACUAGCAAUCAGGGAAAUAUAAAUAAACUCAGGAGCUCAUGGCCCAAGGGGCCAGCAGCAGACUUCCAGCAGGAAACUAUACAGACAUUACUUAGUCAUAGCUGGAAGAAGGGCUCAAGUAAAGGGCUCUGUGCCUGUGACAUCCUCAGAGAGACCAGGGAAAGACCUGUAAACCUUGAGGAAUGUGUGCACAUGAAGAGGCCCACAGGUCUGGGACGUGGUGGGAGUAUGUUACUGUUCCCAUUCUAGAGACUCAGGGCUGAGAUUCAAGUGUACUGGGUUAUAUUAUACACUUGUCAAGUCACAGCUACAACUUCAUCCAGGAUUCAAAUGUUCUUUUGGAAAAAAAAAGAAAAAGAACACAAAUACAUAUUUCAGUACUUGCAUCACUUGUAUACACAAGAAAGGAGAAGCAAAGAGGUGACUGGAAGAGGGGGCUGUGUUCUACACACCCAGAAUGACAAGUGCCAUCUCCAAGCCUGAGGGCCCAGGGUGAGCCCCUCAACUCCUGAGAAAGGCUCUGUCCUGGUAUUAGGAAAUUAAAAUGUGCACAUCAGUUGGCUGUCCACAGCGGGCGGGGCCUGCACCUGCCAGAGAGGAAUGUGGACUCUUUGGUUUAAUCCUGGGAAGGGUUCAUGGGGCCCCUGCAGUGAGGGUCAGAGAGGGGCUCAGCACAGUUGUUUUUCCAAGUCAAAAGGAGAGACUGUUGUCUGCUAGGCAUGUUUCAGAGACUUUAGGGGUGCUUCUCUUUCAUGGGAGAAACACUAUUCAGGACUGCCACCCACUUUAUAUUUGGAUCUGUACUCACAGCCAGGUCAGACAUCUCAAAGAUUCUGAAAGGGAGUUGAGAGGGCAGGGUUUCAACUUAAACACACUGGUGGUGCUCCUCUUAGGCAAGAGCUUGGGGCAAGUAUUGUGUUCUAAGAAGCCCCAUUGGGCACUUCAUCUCUGAAGAGCCCAGAGUUUGUCUUUCAUAAAGAUAUAAAAAGAUAGCCCAACUGCAGAACAAACUGAGACCAUGGUGAAUGUGACAAGGGUCAUAUGACCACUUAGACCCUGUGUAGAGGAUACUAGAGCAAUGUCAGGUGUUCUCUUCUGAACCAACCAAUGUCAGUGUACCUGGUCCUGGAGGAAAAGUACUGUUUCCUAGUGACAGUGAAGUCACAUUUUCCUAAAACGAUUCUAGUUUUUGAUGCUUUCAUUCCUUGGCUGCUUCUGUCUUGUCAGAGCCAGAAUCUGGACCUAAGUGUGCAGGGCAGAACAAAACAAUUUUGUUUUCUAGGAAAAUGGGAGGUCUGGAAUGGCGAAUGUAGCCUCAGGCGUGGCAACUGCCCCAGCUGGGACUACCCACUGCCAAGUUUCACCCUCUCUCAAGAGAACCAAAACCAGACUGUACGCAGCAUCUUCCUUCUCAGCCAAAGGGCCUACUCGUUAGGGUGAUUUGCAUUGUACUUAAGCAUUGAAAAAAAAAAAAGACUGGAAGGAAAUAGAUCAAAAUGUGGUAUGUUUGCCUGUGGAUUAAAGGACUUCAAAUGAUUUUCAUUUCCUUCCUUAUAGUAUAUGUAUUUUCUAUUUGAAUGAAUGAUACAUUUAGAAGUCAGAAAAACAGUUCAUACAAGCCUCCUGUAUUUGCCUUGCCCUCCUCAUCCUGGGGUUAGCACAAUGCAUCUAAGUGUCCUUACUCAGCCACCUCCUCCAGUCUGUCCUUAAGAUGCCCAAGAGACCCAAUGACACAGAGCUCCUACUUCCCAAGCUCUCCAAGACCUUCCCUUUCCUAGCUCCAUUACUCCUGCAUUGAGCUCCCAGACUUUCCCUCUGCAUACCCGAUCAUCUGAGCAUUCCAAGUCCAACUCUCUGCAAGGCCCCAGGCCACCCUGUUGCCCACUGCCCUCUGCUGAGACUUGCUGGUGUCAGUAACUUCACCCAGCUGCUCACCCCUGCCCUCCUCCUCCUCCUAACUGAUUAUAAUCCUGCCUGAUCUCCCAGAUGUAACCUAAACCACCUUCCUAUGUAAGCUCCCCAAGGCUCUAGAGAUUGCCCCUUCAAUUGCUAUGGGGCUUAUGUGUGCCUGGCCCUCAGCACAGGAACCUUGCUUUCUUCCUCUCCCAUGUCACCUCCGGUGCCUGGCACAGGCAAGUCCCCUGAGCCAGCUCACUCCGAUGGAAUAAACAAGCUGCCUAUGUCCUCCCCUAGCAGAGGCCCUUUCCCUGUCCCCCCUCAAUCAAUUUCCCCGUCUUGGUGGAUUUGCCAAAGCCCUGUGGAUCCUGCACCAUGAAGGAAAAAAAACCCUCCCUAGGGCAUCUGGACAGCUGCAGCCAGGUCCUGCGUGACAUUGCUGAGCUGCAGCCCCACAGCCUGUGCCAGCUGCCCAUGCCCUGUUCACAGACCCUGAGCCAGACCAGACCCAACACCACCUGUGUCUUCACUCAGAGGGGAGAAGUAAGAGACAAGGACAGAAAGUGUAAAAGCUAUUCCCACAACAGCUGCCAGGAACAAGGCGAGAGUGCAGUGUAAAUGUAUAUUCACAGCUGGUACCCAGUUCCGCUUAGGAAAAUACCUUGCUUGAGUGGACACCUGUUGUUUUUGCGAACUCUGCAACCAGGCCUGGCUUCUGGAAAUAGUUCACCGAAUCUUCCUUAAAGGGGUCCUCAUUUCCUACUCCCCAGUGUGUAAGAUUUAGGAAUUCAUUGGCUAUUUCCAAAGGGGGCUUUGUGGCUGGAUCACAACUUCAGAAACAUAGUUGCACUUAUAAAGAUGGCUUGUACUUUGGUUGGGAGCAUUGAGAGCCUAGCCUGAGCCUGUGGCAGAAAUCAUUUGGAAAAAGUCUGGCAUCUUUCUUCUGGUACAUGUAAAAUAGUGGACAUCUUACAUUUAUUGGAAAGUGAGUGUUUAAGGACACAGAUGAAUAUAGCUAUGCAUGUAUCUAUAGGCAGAGAGAGGGAAAGAGCACAAAAAGGACAGGGUAGAAGGAGGAGAGAAAGCAUCACCAGACUAGCUCUAGCUGUGUCUGGAACAGCCAGGUUCAGAUUCAUAAACUAGAAAAAUGUCUCAUUGUCCUUAUCUAGAUUGAAAUGGGCUCUGCAGUCUGUUACCAAGAGCACUUAGGAAUAUAAAAAGCUAGGGGUAAGAUAUGAACCUGAGGAGAUAGGUCUGGGGGUAAGUCUAGGUUGCAAAACACAGCAAACAAAACAACAACAAACACCCUAAGACAGUCUUGUUAAGCUUUGCAGAGUAGAAGACAGGAAAGAAGAAGGUUAGCUAGAUAAAUCUGGCCCGAGGCCCCAGCUUCAGCUCUACAUGGGCCAGGAAACUCUGGGAAAGGUGCUUCGUACAGCUGUCCACUGACUUUCUACUGUUAUAAUGCAAACUUCUCUUUAGAGAGCUUCUCUCUCUACCCUGUGUUUGCAGCACUUUAUGGAACAUGCUGUAUUUUGUGUUCAAGCAAAGACUGAGGAUACAUUUAACUUGAGAUGGACAGUGACAUGACAGUUGAAGAUGACCUAUGGAAUCCCAAGAAAUCCUAGGAACAAUGCUAGGCUUUGUGCAACUACAGAGUUCAUAGUGCUGGAGACUUUUCACUGAAUGCCUUUUCUCAUAAUGGAGAUAACAGGCCUAACACAUAAAUCUCAGAGUAAAUGGAAAUGAUUCUGUGGGCCCAAGGGUGGGGUCUGAAUGGUAAGGUGCUAAAGAGGACAGGCAAUGACAGAGCUAGCCCUAAGCAAGCCCAGGAAGCAGAGCAUGAGUAGCACAGCUGCCUGCAGAACAAAACUAGUCUACCCAGCUUUCCAUGCUGCAAGAAGUCACUGUCCAGGUCUCCCAAGACACAUUUGGAAGGGAAGGUUCCAGGCAGCAAGAGCGGCCCCAGGAAACUUUAAUAUACAAUGGAAUCUGGGUUAAGCACUAUCUUCUCCAAAAGUUGAGCUCACAGGACAUUCCCCAGAAACCUCUGGAGAGGUGGGGAGGAAAGUUUCUGGAGGUCUUUGGACGAAGAAAACAAAAAAGUGGCCUUGAUUUUUCAAGGAGAAAUUACACAGGAAGAAAAAAAUGUUUUUAAUCUAAUUAAGAGCGAUCUUUUCACCUUCAUCACAACAUCACGGAAAUGUGCCAGUUCUUAACUUCACACAAUAAUCAAAGCAAUUAAGGAGAAGCCUUGGAAACUGGUGCAGAUGUUCUCAGAAUGUUUAAUGGGGAAAUGAGUUGCAGGCCUCAUUCUCAGCAUCCGGCUCCAGGCCCUGGCUACCAAAUCCAGACAUCUGCUGGGGCCCCACUCCCAGGCCUGGAGGGUGUGUGCUUGAGAAACACAGGUCUCUUCCCAGGCUGCCUCUAGCGAGGCCAGAUCUGGGGCCCCAGAGGCUCCCCAUGGUUCCUCAAGCCAGAGCCUGGACAUAGUCAGAAUCACCCCAGAGCUAGGGAGAAGCUUAAUGUCAAAAUUAUGUUAACAACUGAUGUCAAAAGUAAUCAACUCAAACUGGCUCCCUCACCCCUGCUGGCUGCAGGAGGACUAUGAGUAGAGGAAGGGGGGGCAAAGAGCCCCUGGCAGGGGCUGGGAGAGACUCUCUUCUUUGACCUCCUCAGCAUGAAGAUCACAUAAAGGUGUGGCAGCAUUGGUGCAGUCUGACUCUGUGUGCUUUGGUUCAAUGUUGCCAAGCUAGACCCGAGAAGCAAAUUAGUCCAUCCUUGAGUAAUUUUCAAAAAUCAGAAACCAUGUAGAAAGGAGGGUGCUGCUCACUUAGUAACUAGCCUGUUUUAGAGAGCAGAAGGGCAUAUGACUAAAGUUAAAUGGCUUGAAAGUGAAGACCUUGAUGUAUGGUUCAGGCAGCUCAUUAAACCACACUGGAAGCCCUGCUGUAUGGUACACACAAAGAACAUGGAAGAAAAGAAAACAUCCCUGGUUUUGAGGACACAUAGGCAGUAUGGGUCCUCACACAUGUACGACAUUUACCAUUCAUACUGUCUUCAUACCAAAGGCUUCUUAAUAAAAGAAAUACCAGAUAUGACUCCAGGGCUUUGUUUAAUGCAGGGUAGGCCAAAGGCAAUGGAAAGAAAUCUCUCAAAGUAAGCCUUCAGUGGAGUCAAUACUCCAGGUCCACAUUACUGGUAGAUCUUUAAGGAGUGUUGUAAGCUGAAUUCCAGCUGUUCACUAAAUAGACCACUUUCUUGGGAAGUAGCUGGCACAAGUUUCCUGUUAUUCUCUGUCCAUAAAUCUAGCCCCAAAAAAGUGAUAGGAAGGGGUUAAAGCCUUUAAGAAUGAAAGUAGCAUGAUGCACUUUUUAUCGAAAGAAUUUUUGGGAUUGCUAUGUAUAGGAUGUAGCAAAGGAAAGCCAGGGAGACUUGGGAGGCCAGUGAAGAGUGAAAGGGACAUCCAAACAAACAGACAAACAGACAAACCCCUAAACAAACAUGGUGGCAUUAGCAGGGGAAGAAGCUAUAGAAACCAAGAGUGGGAAAAGUCUAUAUGUGAAAAAGCAUAAUUUUAAAGAUUUGCAGGAAUGUUUGGAGAAUAACAACAUUCUACUCCCCCACCCCAACCCCUGGACUUCAAAUCUUCUCACUUACUCAAAAAAUCAGAACAAGCAAUUCAACAACAGUAAGAGCAAAAUAAAACCAUAUAUGAUCUAUUCCUUCAACAGUAGGCCAAAUACAUAGAAAUUACCCAUGAGAGGAGAGUCUGCCCACCAUUGUAUACCUGUGAGUGCAAAAGAAGAGGCCUACGAUGCUCUGUCAAAAGAGUGAGGAUGCUAAGUAGUGUCAACAAAAAUAAGGUUCCCCUCUCCACAGAAAUAUUUUUAUAGGAACUCAGAAUUAAUGUCAGUGAUUAAUUCUGGGAAGCAGUCAGUAAUUCACAGCAACCAAGUGAAUAUCACAAAAAGAAAUGGGCAAUUAAAAAGUGUUAGGGGCCCAGCAAGAUGAUUCAGUGGAUAAAGAUUCUUGUUGCCAAGACUAACAACUUUAGUUCAACCACUGGGAAAAAAACCCAUUUAGUAGAGGAAAGAACAAGUUUGUGCAAAAAUUACAGAAACUUGGGACAUUUUCACUUGUCCUUAAAUACUCAUCUUCCCUCUACUAAGCCUGGUUUGGUGGCACUGUUGCAGAUGAUAGGUAGUAUGGACCCUGGUCCUUGUUUCUGAAGUGUGCAGUACAGACCUUGUCUAAAAUAAUUAUUUAUGUUUUACAAUAAUUUUUUUUGUUUUAUAUUGUUUGUGGGUAGCCUGAAAGACUGACUUAAGGUGUUUUCAUUUUCCCCCCAAAUAGUAAUUGCGAAUUUUCUCAGUGUGAAAAAUAGUGGACAGUACUUGCAAACGCUGUAAGACCUUCAGAGCAGUUAUAAUGACUUGAGCAAAGAUCAGUGGUUGAAGCACACAGCGGCCCACUGAAAAGCCUCAGAAGGCAAUCUAGAGAGAGCUUCCUUGGAAUUUUAGAGCAUUUAAAAUAAUAGUAUGUGCUAAUAACUUACAAAACAUGCACAGAGCUAGAUGCUAAGAAGAGCCCUGACAAUACUACAAACCAGUAUCUAUGAGAGAUUUCUAUACGUAAGUUACCUCAAGCUACAAGUGAAAGCAAAGACAGGAUUGUUAAUAGUCUGUCCAAAUAUUGAAGGAAAAUUCCAGUUUAGUUAAUUUACAAAAGCUGGACGAAUCCUGCCCUCCUUUUAUACCUCGCUGUCAUAAUGAACUGAACAUAAAUGAAAGGAACAGAACUUCAAAGACCACACAUAACUUCACAAAAGAAAAAUAGCUUGGGAAUAAAUAAAAAAAAAGCUUAAAACCACUUAAGUAGCAUUAAAAAAUCUGGAGGCAGAAAAGAAUCUAAUGUCCACAGUUAUAAUAUAAAUAAUUGAAAAUAUAGAGCUUUAAACAAAGAAAAUAUGGACUAUACAGAGAAACAAUAACAAAGUUCCUUCCCACAGAAAGCCGAAAGAAGUAUAGACACACUGUACUUAACUUGACAAAAAAAUAAUUUUUAAUUAGGCUAGGAAUGUUUCAGCUGGAAAAGGGUCUUGAUACUUAAGCCCUGUGACCUAAGUUUGAGCUCCGAUCCCAUAUAAAGGUAUAAGGAAAGAACUACAUAAAAUCAGCCCCUAACCUAGAAAUGGGCACCAUGGCAUGUACAGUAAUCUCAUUGAUAAUAAAAUAAAAUUAGUCUAAGUUAUGCUGAAAGAUAAAAAGAAAAUGAUAAAGAACUAAAGAAAACAAAGAAUAUGAAGAAUGAGAUAAAAUUAGAAAAUGGAAUUAAACAAAUUCUAGAACUGAAAAGUAUUAACAAAUGAAAAAAUCCAUUAGAGGGUUUCAUCAGCAGAUCUGAAUGAUAUAAGAAUCAGUGGACUUAAGGAUCAAGUCUGAGCACCAGGGGGGGAAAAUGAGCAUUUCAAGAAUUCUAUGGUAAACUACCAAGUAUGCUAAUAUCUUUGUUGGAAAUCCCAAAAAGUAGGUGAAAGAAGGAGCAGGAAGAAGAAUUGACCUAGUGGCUAUGCCUCCCCAAAUUUGAUUAAAGACAAAAAUUACUAUGUACAGGAACAUAAGCAAAAGGACCCAGAAAUGAUAACUGAGUCACAGAAAAAUACACUAUCAAUUAUUGAAAGGCAGAACAGACGUUAAAAAGAAAAAAAAAGACUUUGCUUGUCAUGUAGUGAUUCUCAAUACAAUUAAUGUGUUUGUUAUCAGCAAGUAUAGAGUCGACUGAGAAUGGAAUAGCAUUUUUAAGUACUGAGAGGAAAAAAGUCUGUCAACCAACAAUUUUNNNNNNNNNNNNNNNNNNNNNNNNNNNNNNNNNNNNNNNNNNNNNNNNNNNNNNNNNNNNNNNNNNNNNNNNNNNNNNNNNNNNNNNNUCCUGCCCUCCUUUUUACCUGCUAUAAUGAACUAAACCUUAAUGAACCAAAUCUAAAUGAAAGGAACAAUAUUGAAACUAUGUUGGCAUAAACUCAAUCUAGAAUUUUGUAAAGUUAAGUGUAAUUAAUUCUCAUAAAAAUUAUUCAGAAAACAUCUGGAAAANNNNNNNNNNNNNNNNNNNNNNNNNNNNNNNNNNNNNNNNNNNNNNNNNNNNNNNNNNNNNNNNNNNNNNNNNNNNNNNGAGAUUGAAGGAGAGAGACAGGUAGACAUGGAGAAUCAGAACAUAUUACAGUAGACAUUGCUGGAAUCAGCUUGGCUAGAAAAACCUAAUUUGUGAUUUAACUGCUGGAGUUUAGAUGUAGAUAGAUGUAAGAACUAAAAAGUCAAAGGCACUAAGUUUUGGGAAGAGCCUUAACGUUUUCAUGAAGUACUUCAUCCAGGAGUUUGAUCAGAUUCUCAAUGCGAGUAGUAGAGAAAAAUUCCCUUGAAACUUUCAAUAUUGGGAGGGAGGAAAGCCAUUCUGAAAACAAACAAUAGUGUUUUUCGUCAAGGGUUUACCUUCAGGGAAAGUUAGUUUACUAGGUCUUAGCCAGCUAGGAUUUAUCACAAGCUAACUGAACUGACCUAAAGCAAUUCAAAUUAACUCUAGAUUUCUUGUGGAGUAGAAAUAACCAAACACCAGACCAGUUCACUUUAGCCAUCCUAUACCACCCAAGAAAAAAUAUUGAAGAAUGGUUGUGACAUUCAGUCAAGAGGCUCAGUAAAAGUGAGACCUAAACACAGAACUAUAGAAUGUUUCUUAUAUACGAAACCUUUCUGUAUUGUUAAUAAUGCCCAUUCAAUAGAAGUUCCUUUUGUCUGAUACAUCAUAUCUGCUGUCCACCUAUUGAAAAAAAAUACAAGGAUUCUAAAAGACAUUAACUUUUUAAAACAUAGCAGACAUUUCAGAUAUGUUGAAAUUAUCGGAGAUAUUUGAACUAUAAAACUAAGGACAACAUCCAAGGACAAUAGCAAGGAAGGAACCAAACUCAUAGGGAAAACACAAAAAGGGCUGGGAACCAGCAAUAGCAAUGUAUGAAAAAUACCCUCUGUAGACUCAUUUGAUUGCACACAGAUGAGAAAAAAAAUCAGAGUAUCUUUUUGUACAAACAANNNNNNNNNNNNNNNNNNNNNNNNNNNNNNNNNNNNNNNNNNNNNNNNNNNNNNNNNNNNNNNNNNNNNNNNNNNNNNNNNNNNNNNNNNNNAAACUAUCUAAGAAUGUGCAGUGAGGGGGGUAGGUAUCUUUUUGCCAUAUUCUCAAAUGAAAAAGCUUUAAAAAUGAAACAUUUUAGUUUAAACAUCUUAUUUCUUGAGGGUCUAAAAGAUUCUAAAGUUGUCAAUGUUCACUGAAACAAAAAAGAUGGUAANNNNNNNNNNNNNNNNNNNNNNNNNNNNNNAGACUUUCUUUUCCAGACUUAACAGGCAUAUGAGGAAAAAUGGUACACUGAGGCUAUGUAUAAGAAGAUAAUAGGCAACCUAAACAGAAAGCACCAUGCUUGGAUGGAUUUACUGAUAAAUUCUGACAAAUCUCAACUAUUUAAUGGAAGAAUGUAUACUAAAGGUUCUACAGUNNNNNNNNNNNNNNNNNNNNNNNNNNNNNNNNNNNNNNNNNNNNNNNNNNNNNNNNNNNNNNNNNNNNNNNNNNNNNNNNNNNNNNUGUAAAACAAUACACUACGCAACAUUAAUAUGCCAAAUCCAAAAAUACCACAACUGCUCAGUGCUAUGGGACAUUAAAAACUAAGGUAAGUUAUCACAAGCAUAAAAUAAGUCACAGGAUUAUGUCACCAGACAGAAAUAUACAUCCGACAAAAAUCUUGACCAACCCAUGGUAAAAACAACAACUUUGGAACAUUUAGCCUCAGGUACGUAAUCAUAAGAAGUAAUACUUAUUCACUGGAUACAAUUACCAACUCAUAAUAAAAGUAACAACAACCAACAACAACUCUACACAUUAAAAACUCAGGAUAGGGUUCACAAGACCCAAGGGGAAAAAAAAAAAGGUCUGACAACAUUAUUUACUAACUCAUGAUUAAAACAAAACAAACAGGAAAACUUCUGGAACAUUAAAUACUCAAGUAAGUGAUCACAAGAAGUAAAAAUAUCACUGGACACAAAAGUGCAUCUGAGAAAAUUCUUUAUUAACUUGUGAUUUAAAAUAAAGAAAAAGAAAAGAAAACCAAACAACUGGGGAUCAUUAAAAACUCAGGUAAGUGAUCAUAAGAAACAAGAAGCAAGAAAUAAGUUACAGAAAUCUGACAACAUUCUUUACCAAUAAUACCAAACAAAAAAUAAGCACACACAAAACCCUCUAGAAUAUUAAAAACUUAGGUAGCUGAUCACAAGACACAUGAAGCAAAAAAGAUAUUACAUGAAUAUUUCACUACACACAAAAACCUGACAACAUUCUUUACCAACUCAUAAUACAAAACAGAAAAAAAAAGCAUACAUAAGACAUCUGGAGCAUCAAAAGCUCAGGUAAAGAUGACAAGAAGCAAAAAGAAGUUACAAGAUUAUAUCACUGGACACAAAAAUGCAUCUACAAAAUUCCCUAUCAACUCAAGAUAAAGGAAAGAAAAGAAAAACCUAACAACUCUGGACCAUUAAAAACUCAGGUACAUGAUCACAAGACACAAGCAAAAAAGAAAUUACAUGAUUUCACUGACACAAAAAUGCAUCUGACAAAAUUCCUCAUCAACUCAAGAUGGAAGACAAGAAAAACCCAACAACUCAGAAACAUUAAAAACUUAGGUAAGUGAUCACAAGACGCACACACACACACACACACACACACACACACACACACACACACCCCACAGGAAGUUACAUGAUUAUUUCAGUAGACACAGAAACCUCACAUUCCUUAUCAACUCAACAUAAAAAACAGAAACAAAGCAAACACAAAAACCCUCUGAAACAUUAAAAACCAUGGUAAGUAAUCAAAAGACACACACACAAAACAACAAGAAGUUACAUGAUUAUUUCACUAGACACAGAAACAUGACAACAUUGUUUACCAUCUCAUAAUACAAAACAAACACAAAUCCUUUGGAAUAUUAAAAAAUCUCAUGUAAGUGACCACAAGAAGCUUAAAGAAGUUACAUGAUUAUAUCUUUGGACACAUGCAUGCAUCUGAUGAUUUUUUACCAACUCAUGGAUUUAAAAAGGGGGGAAAAUAAAACCCAACAACUCUGGAACAUAAAAAACAAAAAGUUACAUGAUUAUUUCACUAGACACAGAAAUCUGACAUUUACCAACUCAUAAUACAAAACAGAAGCAAGGGCUAGAAAGAUGGUUCAGUGGUUAAGAGCACUGACUGCUCUUCUAGAGGUCCUGAGUUCAAUUUCCAGCAACCACAUAGUAGUUAUAUAUCCAUCUAUAAUCUGACUCUCUCCUGACGUGUCUGAAGAGAACAACAGUAUGCUGAUAUACAUAAAAUAAAUCUUUUUAAAAACAAGCAAAACACAGAAACCCUCUGGAAACUUAAAAAGGUGAUCACAAGACACAGAUAGGCAAAAUGAAGUUACACGAUUAUUUCACUAGACACAGAAACCUGACAUUAUAAACUCACAAUAUAGGAACAAAACAAACACAAAACUCUGGAACAUUAAAAAACUCAGGUAAGUAAUCACAAGAAGAAAAAAAAAGUUACAUAAUUAUUACUGGACACAAGCAUGCAUCCAACAAAAAUUUUUAUCAACUCAUCUCAAAAACCCCAAGAACAUUGGAAUAUUAAAAGCUUAUAUAAGUGAUCACAAGACCCAAGAAGAAAUAACGAAGUUACAUGAUUACUUCACUAGACACAGAAAUCUGACAACAUUCUUUAUCAUCCCAUAAUACAAAACAGAAACAAAAAGACCACACAAACCCCUGGAACAUUAAAAACUGGUAAGUGAUCAGAAGAGACAAGAACCAGAAAAGAAAUUACAUGUAUGUAAUUUCACUACAUACAGAAACCUGACAACAUUCUUUAUGAACUCAUAAUACAAAGCAAAAANNNNNNNNNNNNNNNNNNNNNNNNNNNNNNNNNNNNNNNNNNNNNNNNNNNNNNNNNNNNNNNNNNNNNNNNNNNNNNNNNNNNNNNNNNNNNAAUGUAAAAGUAGAAAAUAGAAAAUAUCUUCACAUAAUACAGACCUAAAAAAAUUCCAAACCUUGCACUAAAGAACUAAGUCAUUUUGCAUUUGUAGUUUGAUAUUAAGAAAAAAAAAACAUGUUAAACUGUUGCCACCUCUAUUCAACAUAAUGGUGAAUGGUUUAACUGGAUCAAAUGGAUUAGCUGGACACAUGUAACACAUGUAAAUUGGAAAGGAAGUAAUAAACAAGAUUCCUCAUAAGAUUGUAUAUGGUAAAUUCAGUAGUGCAAAAGAAUAUCAGUACACAAGUUUCAUUUCUAUACAUCAAAAUUGAUAUUUAAGAGUACCAUUGACAUAAUUUCAUUUGAGGCAGCAGUAUGUUAUCCACAGCUUUGAUGGCCAGGCUACCUCGUAAUUAUUCUUGAUUUCAUAGAUGAUAAAUCUGAAAAACUAUAUUGUUUUGCCCUUACUACAAUAGGAACCACUGCAUCCAACCAAUUCUUGAUUCUUGCACUUAAAUAGGUCUUAGCUCAUUCAUACCAGAUUGUAAAUACAAUGGAUGUAUACCAAAAUUAAGGAACACUGUCCCAAUAUAAUGAGAAAUACUAAAAACCCAAAGAGAGCCGGGAAGAUAUCCAUUUGGUAAAGCAUUUGGCAAAAUGCUUUUAAAGCAUGAGGAUCUGAGGGUGAGCCCUGGAACUCAUGUGAAAAUGUCAUGUAUAUUGGAUGUUUGCAGUCACAGUGAUGGAAUGGAAGGAAGAGAAUCCAAAGAGUUUAGUAAUUUGGCAGUCUGGCCUAUUUGGUCAAGUCGAGACUAUCUCAAUGGAGGUGGAUAGCAUUUCUAGUUAAGAAAGUGGAGGCUGUCCUCUGACUUAGAACACAUGAAUAUGCACAAACAUGCACCUACAUAUAUAUCUUUGUAUAUAAAAGAACAAGGCCAUUAUCAAAGAAAUACAAGUCAUGUUCCAGUAACCGACUCCAAAAAACCAGGCACAUUAACUUAGUGACAAUUUAAAAUGAGUUAAGAAUAGCCAACUAAAAGAGAACUGGGAGAGUACAAUCUGAAAAACAAUACAUGAACAAAUGAGUUUCAAUAAAGCUAUAGAAAGCAAAGCCAAAUUCUGGAGGUGAAGAGUACAGUGAAAGGAAAAUUGUAAGACUGGCUCAAAACAAGAUUUUUCAAUUAAAACUGGAAACCUUGACCUUGAAAAGAACACUUGGACCAAAUGGAUUUAACAGAUCUAUAGAACAUUUUAUCUCAAAACAAAAGAAUAUAUCCUCUCAGCACCUCAUGAACCUUCUCCAAAAUUGGCCAAAUAAUCACACACAAAAAGCCUUAAAGAAUCCAAGAACACUGAAGUGAUUCCAUGCAUUCUAUCAGAUCACCACAGACUAAGGCUGGACUGAAAUAACAACAAAAACAAUGAAAAUCCCACAUACUCAUGGAAACUGGAUGCUCUAGUCAAUGAUAACUUGGUCCAGGAAAAAAUUUAAAACUUUCUAGAAUUCAAUGAAAAUGAAAGCAUAGCAUACCCAGACUUAAUGGGACACAAUGAAAGCAGUGUUGAGGACAAUAGCACUAAGCGCCUUCAUAAAGAAACUGAUCCUAUACUAGCAACUUAUAGCACACUUGAAAGCUCUAAAAUGAAAAGAAGUAAACACAUCCAAAGGGAGUAAAUGGCAAUAAAUAGCCAAACUCAAGAUUGAAAUCAACCUAUUAGAAACAAACAAAAUACAAAAACUCAACAAAACCAAGAGCUGGUUCUUUGAAAAACACCAACAAGGUAGAUAAACCCUUAGCCAAACUAUCUAAAGGGAACAGAGCCAGUAUUCAGUUUAACAAAAUCAAAAAUGUAAAGCGAGACAUUGAGGAAAUUGAAAAAAACAUUAGAUCUUACUACAAGAGACUUAACAAAACUGGAAAAUCUAGAUGAAAUGGUUGGCUUUCCAGACAGAUACCAUGUACUAAAGUUAAAUCAAGAUCAGGCAAACUAAAACAAGAACAAACAAACAAAAACCAACCAAACAAACUACAAAAAAAACAGCCCAGCGCCAGAUGGUUUUAGUGCAGAAUUCUACCAACAUUAAAAAAUGAGCUAAUACUAAUACUCAAACUAUCCCACACAAUAGAAACAGAAGGAACACUACCUAAUUCAUUCUGCGAAGGCACAGUUACUCUGACACCUAAAUCACACAAAGACUCAACAAAACUUCAGACCAGUUUUGCUUUUGAAUAUUGACACAAAAAUACACAAUAAAAUUCUUGCAAAUUCAAUCCAUAAACAUAUCAAAGCCAUCAUUUACCAGGAUCAAGUAGGCUUCAUCCCAGGGCUUCAGGAAUGGUUCAAUAUAUGAAAAUCCAUAAACAUCAUCCACCAUAUACACAAACAGAAAAAAAACAUGAUUAUCUCAUUAGAUGCUGAAAAGGCCUUUGAUAUUAAAAUUCUUGGAGAGAGCAGGAAUUCAUGGCACAUAUCUAAACAUAAUAAGAGCAAUAAAUAGCAAACUGACAACCAACAUCAAAUUAAAUGGAGAGAAACUUGAAACAAUCCCACUAAAAUCAGGAACAAGUCUUCCCACUCUCUCCCUGUCUUUAAUAUAGUACUCAAAAGUUCUAGCUAGAGUAGUUAGACAACAAAAGAAUCAAGGGGAUAUAAAUUGGAAAGGAAGAAGUCAAGUUAUUACUAUUUGCAGAGAACUCCUACAGCGGAUAAACAACUUCAGCAAAGUGGCUGGAUAUGAAAUUAACGGAAACAAAUCAGUAACCUUCCUUUAUAUAAAUGAUAGAUGGGCUGAGAAAGAAAUUAGGGAAACAAAACCCUUCACAAUAGCCACACAUAAUAUAUCUUGGUGUAACUUUAACCAAGUGAAAGAUCUGAAUGACAAGAAGGGGAACGGGGAGUGGGAGAGAGGAACCUGAUCUUGUAUUGGGUGAGGGAAAAGGACUGAAGCCCCAAGGGCCAGCAGAAAGAAUGUAAACAGGCAUCCUCAGGAAAUAGGAGGUUGGGGGACCCCCCCCCAGAACGUACCAUUGACCUGGGAGGUGAAAGACUUCCAGGACUCAAAGUGAGGGACCUUAGAUGAAAUGCCUGACAGUAGAUAGAGGGAACUUAUAAACUCCAGCAGGAAGACAGGACAUCAAGUGAGGGAUGGGAUUUCCAUCCCACAGUCACACAUCUGACCCAAAAUCGUUCCUGUCUGAAAGAAUUACAAGGAUGGAAAUGGAGAGGAGCCUGAGGAAAAGAAGGUCCAUUGACAGGCCCAAAGAGGGAUCCAGCUCACGGGGAGAUCCCAAGGCCUGACACUACUACUAAGGCUAUAGAGUGCUCACAACAAGGGAUCUAUUAUGAAUGCUCUCUGAAAGACCCAAAAAAACAGCUGAAAGAAGCAGAUGCAGAUAGUUGCACCCAACCAAUGGAAAGAAGCAGUUGACCCCUGUUGUUGAAUUAGGGAAGGCUGACAGAAGCUGAGGAGAAGGGUGAUCCUGUAGGAGGACCAGCAGUCUCAAUCUGGACCCCUGAGAUAACCCAAACAUUGGACCACCAAACAGGACAUACCAACUGAUAUGAGGUCCCCAACACACAUACAGGAGAAUUCCGGAUCUGUGUUCAUUCAGAGAUGAUGAACUUAAACCUUAAGAGAGUGGAAGCCUCAGGAAAUUGGGGAUGGAUGGGGGGGGGGUGACAAAUAGAAUAUGGAGUGUAAAAAUUAAUUAAAAAUAAUUUUAAAAAGAACUUCAAGUCCCUAAAGAACAAAGAUGAAAAGAUCUCCUCCCAUGCACAUGGACCUGUGGAUUAACAUAAACAUCUUACCAAAAGUAAGCUACUGUUCAAUGCAAUGCCCAUCAAAGUUCUAAUACAGUUCUUCACAGACAUGGAAAGAGUAACUCUCAACAGAGUUACUCAACAUCAUAUGGAAAAACAAAGACCCAGGAUAACAAAAACAGUUCUUAACAGUAAAAGAUCUUCCGGGGAAAAUAAUAAUUCCUGGCCUCAAGCUGUACAAUCAAGCAAUUGUGAUGAAGAUCACGUGGUAUUGGUACAGAGACAGAAGUUGCCCAGUGGAAUAGAAUCGAAGACCCAGAAAUAAACCCACACACCUAUGGACACUUGAUCUUUGAUAAAGAGGGCAUCUGAAAUCAAGAAAAUAGAAAAGUGAAAAGAUCUCCUUGAGGGUUCGUGGAAUGAAAUCAUGAUCAUUAAAUUUCCCAAUUGUAGAGUUUAAAUAGAAGAGACAGAGAAAGAAAAUUCAUUUGAGUACAUAAACUAUUGAGAACCAGGCCAAUCCAAAGCAUUCUCAGAGGCCCUAAUGAAGGAGAAAAGUAAUCUCUUUAUUCCAAACUUUAAUCUAUCCCCUAUUUUUUGAAAACCUGAUCCUCUCUCUCAAGGUUCUGUUACUGAAGGUUUGCCAGCUAGUCCAUGCCAGUAAAUAAUCAUUGAAAAUUCAGAUAUAUGAACAAAAUGGACAUUCAGGUAUAUGAUAGGUUCAAUACAACAAUGUAGACAACACACAUUAAAGAUUGAAAGAUUAAUUCUAUCAGUGCAUUUCUUAGCAUAUAUCAAAGUAUGAAAUUCACUGGUUAAGUAUAGAGGUAAAACAAAACAACCAGCCAAACAAAAGACAGNNNNNNNNNNNUCACAAACCUCAUUUUAGAUUUAAGAGCAUAUAGACUGAAAAACAAAAUAGAAACUAGCAAUACAUUACACAUGGAAAACAGGAGUGACAAAAUUAUGAAGAUAUAGUCACUAUAUAAUAAUAGAAUCCAUUAAUGGUGAGGUCUAACAUUUGUAACAAUAUCUGUCUUAAAACUUAAAACAUAAACCUGAAAAGAUUAUCCUUUAGCAUUCUCCACUUAUAGUAGUGGAUAACUCAUCUGUACAAAGAAUCACUAGAGAACCAUUUGAGAUANNNNNNNNNNNNNNNNNNNNNNNNNNNNNNNNNNNNNNNNNNNNNNNNNNNNNNNNNNNNNNNNNNNNNNNNNNNNNNNNNNNNNNNNNNNNNNNNNNNNNUCACAAACCUCAUUUUAGAUUUAAGAGCAUAUAGACUGAAAAACAAAAUAGNNNNNNNNNNNNNNNNNNNNNNNNNNNNNNNNNNNNNNNNNNNNNNNNNNNNNNNNNNNNNNNNNNNNNNAGAUCAAUGGAACAUAUUAAAAGAGAGAACUCAGAAAUGAUCCUUGGUGUACAUGACAUUUUACAGUGUUGGCCAGACUAAUUUAAAAAGAAAAAGUCAUCUUGACAAUAUAUAGUGCUGGUAAAACUAGACAUCCUUAUGUAAAAGGGUAAAUGUUGGAUCUUUACUAAAAGCAUAUAUAAAAAUUAAUUCAAGGUCUGUCAAAGACCUAAACAUGACCUGAGAAGUAUAGAAUUCAUGGAACUGGCAGUGACUUCUUAGAUGUGAAACUUGGGGGGAAGAAUAUAGAAAACUCUAUGAGUAUUUUAAAUGUUUGAACAUCAAAACACUAUUUCUCUAUAAAAACCCAACCACAAAGAGUAAAGCAUUUGCAAGUUACAUAUCUGAUAAGUGAUUAAUAUCUGUUAUUUACAGAAAAAUGCAUUACUUAUAUAAGAUCAAUUCAAAGUAGGUAAAAGACCUUGAGAAGUAUCAUAAGAACAAUUAUAAAUGACAUGUAUACACAUAUACUAAUGUGAAUAUCAAUUAUUAAUGAAAUGUACAUCAAAACUCUAAAAACAGGAUCACUGAGAUCGCUCAUCAGGUAAAAGUGCUUGCUGUCAAUUGAUGCAAGACUGACGAUCUAAUUGUCCUUGAAACCUGUAUGAAGGUGGAUGAAGAGAACUGACUCCAUAGUAUUAUCAUCUGAUCUGCAUAUAUACCAUAUGCAAUGUGAACCGCCCCCACAUCUAACUAUAAUUAAAUAUACCUCACAAUCACAUAUCAUUUCAUGAGAGAGAGAGAGAAAGAGAGCAGAGAAGAGCUUCAUCAAGACAUAUUACAAUAAAAAAGUCUAAAAAGAAAAGUGAUAAGUCAUUUAUACUAUUAUGGACUACAGUAGAUUUCAAAGAUGAAAUUCUACAGGCUAUGAGGUGAUGAAGUAAGAUAUUCCAAGUUCAGAAGCAAAGCAAAUUCCAACCAUUAAGUUCAAGGGCAUUGUUAGAAAUGAAGGAGAAAUAAUGCCCAUUUAAAACAAGCAAAAUCUGAGGGAAUCCCUAAGCAAUAGACCAGCAAGCAUUAUAAAACCACAAAAAUGAGAGACAAGAAAAGUACUCAACUAAAAGACAGCAAAAUCAUGAAGACAUCAGUUAUCCAUAAUAACCUUUGAUAUAUAUAAGAUACUUCAAAUUCUGUAGCCAUGGUAGCACACACCUUUAACCGUAGCACUCAGCAGGCAGAAGCAGAUAGAUCUCUAUGAAUUUGAGUUCAGUCUCGUCUACAUAACAAGUUUUAGGACAGCAAGGACUACUUGGAGCAACCUUGCCUACAAUGUGUGAUAUCUACAAAAAAUAUGAGAUGGUACUAUAGACAAAUGGUCAAGAUGAUUAUUUCAAAACUAUAUUUGCUCAUUAUUGGAGCAUAUAGUUUUAUAAAACAACAUCAGACAGAAGCAUAUGUGAGAGUUGUCAUCAUCAUACUGUGUCAAUGCGUUAUCCAGACUCUCCCUUUCAAAAAAGGCAAAAAUCAAUGAAAUCAGACUCCCUUAAAGAAAUACAGAAGAACAAAGGUAAACAUCUAGAAGCCCUGAAAGAGGUAACACAAAACAAUCCAGGAUCUAAAAAUGGAAGUAGAAACAAAGAAGAAAUCACAAAGGGAGACAACCCUGGAGAUUCAAAACCUAGGAAAGUGAUCAGAUGGUGAAAGGCAAAUACAAGAAUCUUACCAACAGAAACCAAGACUACUUGGCAUCAUCAGAACCUAGUACUCCCACAUCAGUGAGUCCUGGAUACCCCAACACACCCAAAAAGCAAGAUUUGGAUUUAAAAUCAUAUCUCAUGAUGCUGGUAGAGGAUUUUUAGAAAGGACAUUAAUAACUCCCUUAAAGAAAUACAGGAGAACACAGCUAGACAGGUAAAAGUCCUUAAGAGGAAACACAAAAAUCCCUUAAAGAUUACAAGAAAACACAACCAAACAGGUGAAUUGAACAGAACCACCCAGGAUCUAAAAAUGGAAGUAGAAACAAUAAGGAAUCACAAAGGGAGACAACACAGUAGAUAGAAAUCCUAGGAAAAAUCAGGAGUCAUAAAUGCAAGCAUAACUAACAGAAUACAAGAGAUGAAAGAAAAUCUCAGAUACAGAAGAUUCCAUAGAAAACAUGGGCACAACAAUCAAAAUGAAAAAUGGAAAAAGAUCCUAACUCAAAACAUCCAGGAAAUCCAGGUCACAAUGAGAAGACCAAACCAAAAGAUAAUAGGUAUAGGUGAGAAUGAAGAUUAUUGACUUAAAGGGCCAGCAAAUAUCUUCAACAAAAUUAUAGAAGAAAACUUCCCAAACCUAAAGAAAGUGAUGCCCAUGAACAUACAAGAAGCUUACAGAACUCCAAAUAGCUUGGACCAGAAAAGAAAUUCUGCCUGACACAUAAUAAUCAAAACACCUAAUGCACAAAACAAAGAAUAUUAAAAGCAUUCAGGGAAAAAGAUCAAGUAACAUAUAAAGGGAGCCCUAUUAGAAUUACACCAGAUUUCUCACCAUAGACUAUGAAAGGCAGAAGAUAUUGGACAGAUGUUAUAGAGAUACUAAGAGAACACAAAUGCCAGCCCAGGCUACUAUACCCAGCAAAACUCUCAAUUACCAUCGAUGAAGAAACAAAGUAUUCCAUGGAAAAACCAAAUUCACACAAUAUCUUUACAUAAAUAUAGCACUUUAAAGAAUAAUAAAGGGAAAACUCCAACUCAAGGAGGGAAACUAUACCCUAGAAAAAGCAAGAAAGUAAUCCUUCAACAAACCUAAAAGAAGAUAGCCAUACGAACAGAAUCCCAACUCUAACAACAAAAAUAACAGGAAGAAACAAUUACUUUUCUUUAAUAUCUUUUAGUAUCAAUGGAUUCAAUUACCCCAAUAAAAAGACAUUGACUAACAGACUGACUACAUAAACUGGACCCAACAUUUUGCUGCUUACAGGAAACCCACCUCAGGGACAAUGAAACUACCUCAAAGUAAAAGGCUGGAAAACAAUUUUCCAAGCAAAUGGUCCCAACAAACAAGCUGAAGUAGCGAUUCUAAUAUUGAAUCGAUUUUCAACCUAAAGCUAUAAAAAAGACAAGGAGGGGCACUUCAUAUUCAUCACAGGAAAAAAAUCUCAAUUCUGAACAUCUAUGCUCCAAAUGCAAGGGCAUCUACAUUAAUUAAAGAAAUUUUAGUAAAGCUCAAAGCACAUAUUACACCUCAAAUAAGUAAUAGUCUGUGACUUGAACACCCUACCCUCAUCAAUGAACAGAUCAUGGAAACACAAACUAAACAGAGACAGAGUGAAACUAACAGAAGUUAUGAAACAAAUGGAUUUAACAGAUAUAUAGAACAUUUCAUCAUAAAACAAAAGGAUAUACCUUCUUAUUAGCACUUCAUGGCACCUUCUCUAAAACUGACCAUAUCAUCAGACACAAAAAUAUUGAAAUAAUUCCAUGCAUCCUAUCAGAUAACCAUGGAUUAAGGCUGCUCUUCAAUAACAACAUAAAUAAUAGAAAGCCAACAUACAUGUGGAAUCUGAACAACACUCUACUCAAUGAUAACUUGGUCAAGGAUGAAAUAAAGAAAGAAAUUAAAGACUUUUAAUGAAAAUGAAGCCACAACAUACCCAAACUUAUGGGACACAAUGAAAGCAGUCCUAAGAGGAGAAGUCAUAGCUCUGCUCUGCGUGCCUCCAAAAAGAUACUGGAGAGAGCAUACACUAGCAGCUUGACAGCACACCUAAAAUCUCUAGAACACAAAAGGGCGCAAAUUCACCCAAGAAAAGUAAAUGGCAGGAAAUAAUGAAACUCAGGGCUAAAAUAAACUAAGUGGAAACGCAAAUAACUAUACAGAGAAUCAACCAAACCAGGAGCUGUUCCUUUCAGAAAAUCAACAAGAUAGAUAAACCAGACUAACUAGGGGACACAGGGACAGUAUCCAAAUGAACAAAUUCAGAAAUGAAAAGGGAGACAUAACAGAAUCUGAGGAAAUAAAAAAGAUCACCAGAUCCUACUAAAAAAGCCUAUACGCAACAAAACUGGAAAACCUGGAGUUGGGCAUGGUGGCACAUGCCUUUAAUCCCAGCAUUUGGGAGGCAGAGGCAUGUGGAUUUCUGAUUUCAAGGCCAGCCUCUUCUACACAGUGAGUUCCAGGACAGCCAGGGCUAUACAGAAAAACCCUGUCNNNNNNNNNNNNAACAAAACUGGAAAACCUGGAUGAAAUGGACAACUUCGUAAAAAAAAAAAAAAAAAAAAGCCCAGGACCAGAUGGGUUUAGUGCAGAGUUCUAUCAGACCUUCAAAGAAGACUUAAUUCCAACUCUUCUCAAACUAUUCCACAAAAUAGAAACAGAAGGUAUCCUAACCAAUUCAUUCCAUGACGCCAAAAUUACUCUGAUACCUAAACCACACAAAGAUCCAACAAAGAAAGAGAACUUCAGACCAAUUUCCCUUAUGAAUAUCGAUGCAAAAAUACUCAAUAAAAUCUUUGCAAACUGAAUCCAAGAACACAUCAAAACAAUCAUCCAUCAUGAUCAAACAGGCUUCAUCCCAGGGAUGCAGGGAUGGUUUAAUAUAUAGAAAUCCAUCAACAUAAUCCACUAUAUAAACAAACUCAAAGACACAAACCACAUGAUGAUCUUGUUAGGUGCUGAGAAAACAUUUGACAAAGUCCAACACCCCUUCAUGAUAAAAGUCUUGGAAAGAUCAGAAAUUCAAGGCCCAUACCUAAACAUAAUAAAAGCAAUAUACAGCAAACCAGUANNNNNNNNNNNNNNNNNNNNNNNNNNNNNNNNNNNNNNNNNNNNNNNNNNNNNNNNNNNNNNNNNNUUGGAAAGGAAGAAGUCAAAAUAUCACUAUUUGCAGAUGAUAUGAUAGUAUAUAUAAGUUACCCUGAAACAUCCACCAGAGAACUCUUAAACCUGAUAAAUAGCUUCAGUGCAGUAGCUGGAUAUAAAAUUAACUCAAACAAAUCAAUGGCCUUUCUCUACAAAAAGGAUAAACGGGCUGAGAAAGAAAUUAGGGAAACAACACCCAUCACAAUAGUCACAAAUAAAAUAAAAUACCUUGGUGUGACUCUAACUAAGGGAGUGAAAGAUCUGUAUGAUAAGAACUUCAAAAAAAUUCCAACUCAAUNNNNNNNNNNNNNNNNNNNNNNNNNNNNNNNNNNNNNNNNNNNNNNNNNNNNNNNNNNNNNNNNNNNNNNNNNNUAAUAAAAAACCUAGGAUAGCAAAAACUAUUCUCAACAAUAAAAGAACCUCUGGNNAAGGCCACCAACAGAUUGGGAAAGGAUUUUUACCAAUCCUAAAUCUGAUAGGGGACUAAUAUCCAAUAUAUACAAAGAGGUCAAGAAGCUCAACUUCAGAAAAACAAAUAACCCCAUUAUAAAUGGGGUAUAAAGCUAAACAAAGAAUUCUCAAGUAAGGAAUACCGAAGGGCUGAGAAGCACCUGAAAAAAUGUUCAACAUCCUUAAUCAUUAGUCAAAUGCAAAUCAAAACAACCUUGAGAUUCCACCUCAUACCAGUCAGAAUGUCUAAGAUCAAAAACUCAGGUGACAGUAGAUACUGGCAAAAAUGUGGAGAAAGAGGAACACUCCUCCAUUGCUGGUGGGAUUGCAAGCUUGUACAACCACUCUGGAAGUCAGUCUAGCGGUUCCUCAGAAAAUUGGACAUAGUACUACAUAAAGAUCCAGCAAUACCAGUCCUGGGCAUAUACCCAGAAGAUGCUCCAACUGCUAAUAAAGACACAUGUUCCAUUAUGUUCAUAGAAGCCUUCUUUAUAAUAGGCAGAAGCUGAAAAGAACCCACAUGUCCCUCAACAGAGGAAUUGAUACAGAAAAUGUGGUACAUUUACACAGUGGAGUACUAGGCAGCAAUUAAAAACAAUGAAUUUAUGAAAUUCUUAGGCAAGUGGAUGGAUCUGGAGGAUAUCAUCCUGAGUGAGGUAACCCAGUCACAAAAGUACACACAUGAUAUGCGCUCACUGAUAAGUGGUUAUUUGCCCAGAAACUCAGUAUACCCAAGAUACAAUUUGCAAAGCACAUGAAAGUCAAGAAGAAGGAAGACCAAAGUGUGGAUACUUCGAUCCUUCUUAGAAGGGGGAACAAAAUACCUCUGGAAGGAGUUACAGAGACAAAGUUCUGAGCAGAGACUGAAGGAAGGACCAUCCAGAGACUGCCCCACCUGGGGAUCCAUCCCAUAAACACCUACCAAAUCCAGACACUAUUGUGGAUGUCAACAAGAUUUUGCUGACAGGAGCCUGAUAUAUCUGUCUUCUGUGAGGCUCUGCCAGUGCCUGGCAAAUACAGAAGAGAAUGCUCACAGUCAUCCAUUGGACAGAACACCGGGUCCCCAAUGACGGAACUAGAGAAAGCACCCAAGGAGCUGAAGGGGUCUGCAACCCUAAAGAUGGAACAACAAUAUGAACUAACCAGUACACCCAGAGCUCCCUGGGACUAAACCACCAAUCAAAGAAAACACAUGGUGGGACUCCUGUCUCUAGCUGCAUAUGUAGCAGAGGAUGGACUAGUUGACCAUCAAUGAGAGGAGAGGCCCUUGGUGUUGUGAAGGUUCUAUGCCACAGUAUAGGGGAAUGCCAGGGCCAGGAAGGAGGAGUGGGUGGGUUGGGGAGCAGGGAGAGUGGGGGGAUAGGGAAUUUUCAGAGAGGAAACUAGGAAAGGGGAUACAUUUGAAAUGUAAAUAAAGACAAUAUCUAAUAAAAAGAAUGAUAUCAUAGAAAAGAAAUAAAUUAAAUUAAUCAAAAUCUUAAAAAAAAAGAGAGUGAUGAUUCCCAACUUAAAGGGCCAAUAUAUAUCUUCAACAAAAUUAUAGAAGAAAACUUUCCUAAUGUAAAGAACGAGAUGUUCAUAAACAUAAAAGAAGCCUACAGAACUCCAAAUAGCUUGGGCCAGAAAAGAAAUUCCUUCUGACACAUAAUAGUCAAAACACCAAAUGCACAAAACAAAGAAAGAAUAUUAAAAGCAGUCAGGGAAAAUGUUCAAGUAACAUAUAAAGGCAGACCUAUCAGAAUUACACCAGACUUCUCAUCAGAGACUAUGAAAGCUAGAAGAUCCUGGGCAGAUGUUAUACAGACCCUAAAAGAUCACAAAUGCCAGCCUGGGCUACUAUACCCAACAAAACUCUCAAUUACCAUAUAUGGAGAAAACAAGAUAUUCCACUACAAAACCAAAUUUACAAAAUUUAUUUCCACAAAUCCAGGUCUACAAAGUAUAAUAGAUGGAAAACUCCAACACAAGGAGGGAAACUACACCCUAGAAAAGCAAGUAAGUAAUCCUCUUUCAACAAACCCAAUAGAAGAUAUCCACACAAACAUAAAAAUAAUAUCAAAAGCAACAGCAAGCAACAAUCACUAUUCUUUAAUAUCUUUUAACAUCAAUGGACUCAAUUCCCCAAUAAAAAGACAUAGAUUAACAGACUGGUUACAUAAACAGGACACAGCAUUUUGAUGCAUACAAGAAAUGCACCUCAAUGUCAAAGACAGUCAUUACCUCAGAGUAAAGGGCUGGAAAGUGAUUUUCCAUGCAAAUGGUCCCAAGAAACAAGCUGGAGUAGCCAUCCUAAUAUAGAAUAAAGUCAACUUUCAACCAAAAGUUAUCAAAAAGGAUAAGGAAGGAUACUUCAUACUCAUCAAAGAAAAAUCUACCAAGAAGAACUUUAAAUUCUGAACAUCUAUGCUCCAAAUGCAAGAACACCCACAUUCAAAAAGAAACUUUACUAAAGCUCAAAGCACACAUUGUACCUCACACAAUAAUAGUGGGAUAUUUCAACACCCUACUCUCAUCAAUGGAUAGAUCAUGGAAACACAAACUAAAAAGGGACAGAGUGAAACUAACAGAAGCUAUGAAACAGAUGUAUUUAACAGAUAUCUAUUGAACAUUUCAUCAUAAAACAAGAGGAUAUACCUUUUUCUCAGCACCACAUGGCACCUUCUCCAAAACUGACCAUAUAAUUGGUCACAAAAAAAGGCCUCAACAGAUACAAAAAUAUUGAAAUAAUCCCAUGCUUCCUAUCAGAUCACCACAGACUAAGGCUGGUCUUCAAUAGCAACAAAAACAGAAAGCCCACAUACACGUGGAAGCUGACCAACACCCUACUCAAUGAUAACUUGGCCAAGGAAGAAAUAAAGAAAUUAAAGAAUUUUUAGAACUUAAUGAAAAUGAAGCCACAACAUACCCAGACUUUUGGGACACAAUGAAGGCAGUCCUAAGAGGAAAACUCAUAGCUCUGGGUGCCUCCAAAAAGAAACCAGAGAAAGCAUACACUAGCAGCUUAACAACACACCUGAAAGCUCUAGAACAAAAAGAAGCAAAUACACCCAAGAGAAGUAGAUAGCAGGAAAUAAUGAAACUCAACCAAAUAAAAACAAAAAGAUCUAUACAAAUAAUGAACAAACCAUGAGCGGUUCUUUGCGAAAAUCAAGAUAAACCCUUAGCCAGACUAACCAGAGGAUACGGAGAUAGUAUCCAAAUUAACAAAAUCAGAAAUGAAAAGGGAGACAUAACCACAGAAACCGAGGAAAUUCAAAAAAUCAUCAGAUCCUACCACAAAUCCUAUACUCAACAAAACUGGAAAACCUUGAUGAAAUGGACAAUUUUCUAGACAGAUACCAGGUACCAAUGUUAACUCAGGAUCAGAUAAACCGUCUAUACAGUCUAAUUGUAAUUGGUGGUAAUGUUGCAUAACUAAAGAUCACAAAAUAAUGGGUAAAGAUUCCAUCUAGAAAUCACAUACACAUAAAUUAGACAUUAAUUGAAAGGAAUACUAUACAAUGAAUAGUGUACCAACGAAGGAGAACUAUCUGUGAAUGGGUGAUAUAUUUCUUUUUAAAUAAAUAACUUGAAAUGAUAAGAUGAUUACAUGUAUUUGGAAGAGCCACACAUAAACUCUAAACCAGAAAACUUACAUUUUGUUACUUACAAGAGUUGGGGCUUAUGAAUAUAGAAGGGAUAUGGGAGGAAAAGGCUUCUCUCAGUAGAUUAUUUUGUGUCUUUUUUUGUUUGUUUGUUUUUUGUUUUUUGUUUUUUGUUUUUUUGUUUUUUUUUUUUUUGAGACAGGGUUCCUCUGUGGCUCUGGCUGUUCUGGAACUCACUUUGUAGACCAGGCUGGCCCCAAACUCAGAAAUCUGCCUGCCUCUGCCUCCCGAGUGCUGGGAUUAAAGGCGUAUACCACCACACCUGGCAUGUGUCAUUUUUGACUUUUGGAAAUAUAUUGAUAUUUUCAAUAUUUUAAUAACAAACAUGUGGGCAGUUUCAAAAAAACAGUGGGAUAAGAAACACAGGCUAAAGUCUCAGUAGGGUAGCCAUAGUUCUAGGUACUGGGGAAAAGAUUUGUAAGAAUGAUACCUUAGGAGUUCAAGAGCAGUCUGGAUAAUGGCAAACCUCCAUCUCUCUAAACCACUGGCUCUCAAAUUUGAUGUCAUGUCCCCUUUCACAAAGGUCACAUAUCAGAUACCCUGCAUAUCAGAUAUUUACAUUAUGAUUCAUAAUAGUAACAAAAUUACAGUUAUGAAGUAGCAACAAAAAUAAUUUUUAUGACUGGGGAGCACCACAACAUGAACAUCUAUAUUAAAGGGGCACAGCAUUAGGAAUGCUGAGAAUCACCACUCUAUAUGAACAACUAGCAAAUUCUCAUUUUUCUAAAGAAACAAGCAAAUACAGUGUUUAAAUUUUUUACCAUUGUAAAUCUGAACAAGACUGUCAAAAACAGUGAUUUCAGAAAUAUAAAUUAAAGUCACAUAACAAACUGAAGAAAAACAUUAGGGUUGUGGAGCAGAAACAGAGUACUUAUUUCAGUUGUGAGGACCCUAUUUAAUCACAAUUAUUUUUAAAAAAAACUACAAAAGUAAAAUCUGAUAAAUCUCCAUAGAAAUUGCAAGGUCUGUGGAAAUUUAACCUAAGGUUGCCUUUCCCAUACCCAGAUGAGUACAAUAGCCUUGAAGACUAGCAUCUUUUCUUCCAAUGAAGAAGCCUAACCUGAUUUGAACUCUAUUGCCAGUCUCAUUCUUUAUGUCAAAAAAUAGUGUCCUCAAGGCAUUUACUGGUUAAAGCCACUGUUAUAGCAAUCUGAUGCUCUAGCACUGGUUGUUGCACAUAAAUACACACACACAAAAAGAUAGUAAAUUCUUAGAGAUAAGAUGGUCUGUACUCUCAAAAAAAGACCAGAAGUACUCUCCUUAUCUACACUGCUGAUUGUGAGACACUAUACAGACAAGAUGGUAAAACAAAGGACAGUUGUAAAGAGUCCAAAUGUUGAAUGGAAAUCCUAAGGCAAAGCCCUUUCAGGAAAAUUUACCAGCUUGAGAUACUUAAAACAAGGCCUCUGACUAAUGGUGGCUUAAGCUGAUCAAUUAAAGCAUGCUUUAAAAACAAAGACAGUCAUUUUCUAAAGAGCAAACUUGAAGAUAAAUCAGAUACACACAUUGCCGGGAAAUGCAAACACUAUAGAAGCAAAAUUGGCACAGGCAUGGCAGAAACAAGCAAUUGCCCACGUAGAUGGGAAAAAAUUCAAAUGUAGUGUUCCUAAAAAUCAACACAUCAUCCUAAGUGGAGAGGGGGGCUAGAGAGAUUAAAGAUUUGUAAAUAGUAAUGAUCACUGAGAGAACCUAAAUACUAGUUUUAGUAGGUCAAGAUUUCAAAGUAUAAAUAUUCUCACACUAAAAUAAGCCUUGUUUUAAAGAAUAAAAGUAAAACAUUGUGACAAUAACUCAUCAGAUGAAAUGUUAAUAAAGAGAUAUAUUAUAAAGUUGUCAGUACAAAUUACAAUAACUUAAAUGAAAACCUUACUUGUAGAGCCAGAUUGCAAGAUAAGCUGGGAGCAGAGAAAAAGAAUCAGUGAAUUUAAAUAUAGAUAUAUAAAGAUUAUUCAGUUUAAAGGACAGAAAAAAAAGAGUAAGGAAGAACAAUGAACAGAACCUCAGAGAUCUGUUAGCUACCACAAGAGUAGGUGUUACCACGAAUUUAUAUGUAAAUUGCACCAUGCAAUCCUCUGCUCCAUUGAAACAGAUAUGGUGGUAGAUGCUGAUAACCUCAGUAUUCAAGUGGUGGAAAUAAGAAGGUUUAGAAGCUCAAGGUCAUUUUCAGCUGCACAGUGAGUAGUUUAGACCACCCUGGGCUACAGGAGACCCUGUCUAUAAACAAACAAAACAAAUACCAGUGCCUGACAUUGUACUUAAUGGUGGAAGAUGAAAUGCUUUCCCUUCAAAUCAAGAAUAAGUUAACUCAGUAUAAUGGCAUACAAAUAUAAUUCCAUCUCCCCAGAGGAGGGAGAAGAAGAAGAAAGAUAAGUUAGAUGUCAUCUUGGGCUAUAUAGUUGUCUCAAAAAAUAAACCCAGCCACCCACAAUUGAGUCAAGGGGACCUGUUUUAUCACUUUUAUUAAAUAUUGUGUAGAAGUUCUGAUCAGUUAUACAAGGAAAAGAAACAAGUCUGGAAAAAAGUAAAAUUAAAUUUCUAUAUUUAACCAAAAUCCCAAGAUUGUAAAAUAUUAGUUUUCCACAAAAUAGAAACAGAAGGUACUCUACCCAAUUUAAGUACAGAAACCACACCCUAGAAAAANNNNNNNNNNNNNNNNNNNNNNNNNNNNNNNNNNNNUAUUAAAUACAGAACCAGAUAGCUAUGGUAAAUGGACUUUUAAUAAAGGUGCCACAGAAAUAAAUGAGGGAAUGAACAGUGUUUUGGAUGGAUUUUUCUUCAACAGCAUGUUAUAUAUGUAAGGGAAAUAAAGUUGAAUGGUUCCCUGCCACUAUAUGUAAAAGCUUAAAAUCAAUCAAAGACUUAAAAAUAGCAAUUAAAUCUUGCAGAAUUCUUACAAAAAAACAUAGAGUCAAAUCUUUGUAACCAAAUGUUUGACGAAAGGUGUUUUGUUUUGCUAUUUUUUUUAUAUAAACCGAAAGUAAAAUAAAGAGCUGAUUCACUGGACUUUAUUAAAAAUUUUUAAAAAUUUAUGCUUGGGGGUAUACUACAAAGAAAGUGGAAGCUGUAGAGAUGGCUCAGCGGUUAAGAAUAUUGGCUGCUCUUCCAGAGGACCAUGGUUGAAUUACUAACACCUAUAUGGCAGCUAAAAUAACUUCAGUUCCAGGGGACCCAAUAACCUUACAAAGAUAUAUAUGCAAGCAAAACAUUAAUACACAUAAAAAGGAAUUAUCAAAAAAUUUAAAGAAAGUAAGAUGGCAAUACAUAGGUGUGAGAAAAUACUCAAAAAUUGUUUGUUGAUAGAAUAUUUGUAGCAGGAUAAAUAUGAUAUAUAUCAAUAUACACACAUAUAUACACACAUAAUUCAAUAUAUACAACACUCAGAACUCGUUGCAAUUCACACACACACACACACACACACACACACACAAUCCCAAUUUAAAAAAUGAAGAAUCUAUGGCCUGUGAACCUUUAAUCUUAGCACUUCAGAGGCAGACAAGAAGAUCUCUAUGAAUUAAAAAAUAGCUCCAGUAAAGACCAUGUCAAUAGAAUGAGAUAGAUAGCUAUAGAGGGGGCAAAAAACUGAGAAAUCAUAUACUUGACUUAGGCUCUGUAUUCAGAACACAAGAAGAACUUCUUAAAACUUAACAUAAAAGGAAGUUCAGUUGAAAAAUUAGUAAACAAUUUAAAUAAACAGUUCACUGAAUGGAAGAAUGUGGAAAAAAUGAUUCAUUAUUAUUAUCCAUUGGCAAAAUACAAAUUUAAACCACAAUAAAACAUUACUGUGCCAGGCAUGGUAGCAUAUGCCUUUAAUCCCAGCACUCUCCUACACAAAGAAACCCUCUCUCAAAAAACCAAAAAAGAAAAUUUACUGCAUGUUUACCAGAAUUGGUAAAAUGAAAAAUACUGUCAAUAUUAAAUGAUCUAUAGUAAUUCCAAAUUAGGAAUAACUUAGAUGUCUGUGGAUGAGUGAGUGGUUAAAAAUGUGGUUUAUACAUACCAUGAAAUUCUACCCAGCAACAAGUCUGAAUUAACUACUGAUAUAUAAAACAACUUGGAUGAACAUCUAGAGAAUUAUGGUAAAUUCUAAAAAUGGUCAAAUUUCAAAAGAUGUGUUUGAUUCUAUUUAUAUAGCAAUCUCAAAAAAGCAGAUCUAUAGAAUCAAGAACAGAUUAGUGAUUACUGGGAAUUAAGGGAUGGUAGGAGGGAAGACGGUGUGGCUAUAAAAGGACAAACAGGGAUCUUUGUGGUAACAAAUAAUAUUCUGUAUCAUUGAACCAGUGUUUCCAUCCUCCUUAAAUUGCACUACAGUUUUGUUACUACUGGGAAAACUAUAUAUGAGUUUUUCAAACUAUAGAUGAUCUCUUUGCAUUAUUUAUUACAAAUGAAUGUGAAUUUCUAAAAUUAGAUUAAAAGCUUGAAUUUUAGAAGUAUGCAAAAGGAAACCAGUAAGAAAGUGGGCAAAGGGGCUUUCUGCUGAGCUUAAUGACUUGAGUUUGAUCCCCAAGACUCAUAUUGUAGAGGGAGAAAAGAAACUCCCACAAGUUUUCCUCCAUUCUCCAUGCAUGUAUUGUGGUAUGAGUGUGCCAUCUCCUUCCCAUAUCUGUGAAAAAAUACAACUGUGCAAAGGAUCUAAAUACAUAUACCAGUAAAGAAGACAUGUAACUGACCAAUAAACACAUACAAAAAUAUUCAAUACCAUUUAUAAAGCACAUCAGGACUGAAAUCAGAUAACAAAAUACUAGGUAGACUUUUUUUUCUCAGCACUUUUUGGAUGGAGUAUUAUAGAUGGAAAAUCAUUUUUGCAGCUAC
ensembl:antisense Kcnq1ot1 KCNQ1 overlapping transcript 1